rnacentral:lncRNA from 1 species
GAAGUAUUCCAGGAGCUUUUAUUGAUAUAUUUUAAUUGAAAAAUUGCCACAUGUUUUUUAAUUUUUUUAAAUAAAAAAUUAGUCAAUUGCACAAAUGCCUUGAAAACUAUAAUUGAAAAGCUAUGUAACUGAUACAGAUGCUGCUUCAGAAGCUGAAUGAGCAGCAAGAUACUAGAGGAUAUAAUCUUUCCAGAAUAAAGUUUUUCCCUUGGAGUUGGAGAAAAAAUUUAGCCAAUUUCAGUUCUUUCUGUCUACAAUGAAGUUCCUACGACUUCAAGUUCAUGUUCAUUAUAACUCUCCUUUAACAUACAUCAGAAACUACAUAAUUGUACAUUAUAUCUAGUUUGAGCAAAUUUAUGUUCAAUACAUCUGGGUAAUGAGACAUUUCUGCUCAAUUUAUUUUGGUCUGCUACGAAAUUCAGUAAAACUAGUUCGCAGUCUAUUCAAUAUAUUUACAAUCAUCCCAGAUAUCAAUUAAAUGCAGGUGCAAUUUUUACGCAUGUACAAUUAUGUGGAAUAAUAUUGCCCAUAACAGGCUCUACACAAAAAACUUGUAGCUACUUCAUAUAUUAAAUUGUUUAUGUUCAUAAAUGAUAACAACAUAUAUUUGUAUGGACAAAUAUUUUGUUGAAUAAAAGAAAAUGCUAGUUAAUGAUGUCGAUUAUGAUAAAAAUGUUAUAUACCAUUUAGCAUAAACGUGUUGUGUUAGUUUUUUUUUUUUUUUUUCAUGAACCAGUGUUCCAUCAGCACUCUCUAACCUUUAUUGUUUUGCUGGAAAGGUCUGUGAAAUUUCUACAAUGGAAAGUGGAAAUCAUUUGUGAAUCUGAGCGGAAAAGAUUCCAAGUAGAAGAUGAAGGAAAUGGAGAAACCAAAUUACCACAUGAACAUGAAAAGAAGAUUUAUUCUGGAAGAAGCUUUAAGCAAGAAAAUCAGCAGACUCUCCUUAUAUGUUAUGAAAUCCAAGAAAGAUAAAGGAAAUAGCAAAACCAAGAGCAAUGGACAAUGGACAAUAUGAAAGUGAUGAUCAAAUGAUUUGAUGAUCAUGUAUUUGUCAAAUAAUGUCUGAAAUAUGCAUGUCUGCUAUUUAGGGUUUUCCCUCUGUUUAUUUAUUUAUUUAUUUUUCCAUUUUUGGUGUGGUGCUAUAAUAAAACUUUGCCCUUGCUGCAUUUUAUCGCUUGAUAUAACUUCUAUUUUGCACUCUUUGAUUCUUAAUUGGGAAAACAGAUUAGGAUGUAUGUAAAUGUGUCACGAUCGACUAAGUUAGCCUCUAGCAAUGCAGCAGCACUUAAACCGCAUUUAGUUAAACAAGCAGCACCUAACAUGCAGGGAAAUAAAAACAGACCCAUCUCUACCUCUACCUGGUGAUAGAACAACCCAGCUGCUGCAACCGCCCAAAAAAGAAAAUGGAUAGUUGGUACAAAGCGUGCUUAUCUUUUUCUCUCCUUGCAAGAAUCGUCUCUUUCAUUCCAAAUUUUGCACUCGUAUCUGUCAUCGGUUGGACCAUUUACUUUUAUUUUAUGUAGUUGGGCUUGUAUUCUUAGUGGGCUAGCCCAAAGCCCUUUAAGGUUGUUUUGUUCUAGAUAUAGUUGUAUAUCUGCAUUUGGAAAAGACGAUGAUGAAUAAAAUUGAAAUUGAGGCUUUGGCUUGUAGUUAUCAUUUUCUCACUUCUCCCUCAAUCUCUGCUUCUCCUCUGGCUUCUUUUCCUAUCUUCUUCUUCUUCUACUUCUACUUCUACUUCUUCUUCUCUGUUGCUGUACUCUUCUUCUUCUCUGAUUUCUUGUUCUUAUUUUUAAUCAUUUAAUCCCCCAUUCUCCUUUUAUCUUAAUUUGGUUCCAAGUUCAGCUGGUUUUAGUUGGAUUACUUCAUUGUUUGAGCUAUGCGAGUGGAUGGUUGCAAAUUGAGGUUUAAUUUAUGACAAAAUGGUAUCAGAGCAGCUACAGUGUUUGGGUGUCUUUCCAUUGGAUAUCAUCAGGGAAGAUUUUAAUAGAAUCCAUGAGCAAAUGAUUUCAAUGUUGACUGAAAUUAUUGAAGCUAAAUCAACCUUCAGAGAUAAGUCCAACCAUUACGGUUCUUCUGUAGAAAUGGCCGAGGCUUCGGAUGUGCAAAUGAGCAAUUUGGGUUCUGAAUCAGAAGAGGGCCUAGUGAAGUAGGUUAGUUUAUGUAAUUUGAGCAUAGAUGAUGAUUCAGUUGCUGCAAUUACAAGUGUGUUGUCGAUGGGGAUAGUGAAAUUAUGGUUACUCUUGAUGAAAAAAGUAAACAAUGAAAAAAUUUUGGUGGGUCAGGAGCAAGGUUCUAAAAUGCGUAAUGCGUGGCAAUGCGUUUCGAUCGAGCAUCAAGCAUUAUAAGAAUAUGCGUGCUUAUGCGAAGCAUAUACAUAAUUAUGCAUUUUCCAAUUUUUAACAUUUUAAAUUAAUAAAUAAAUUAAAUAAUGCAUUCUUUGAAUUUUCAUACAUAUUCUUAAAAAAAAAAAACUCAAUUAUAAAUACUACAAUAAGAUAAUAACUUCAAAUUUAUAUAUAUUUUUCAAAAUUUCAACAAAAACAUAUUGCUCAAAAUCAUAAAUAUAGUUAUUUGUUAAUCAAUUUCUACAAUUAAAUUAAACAAGAAUAUUGACUUAAAAAAUUUUAAAUCUUGUCUAACAUUUUAUUGGAUUCCAAUUCAAACUCCUCUUUUUCAUCCAAGUCAUUUUUUGUGUCGUUCGAUACAAAAUCAUCUUCAUCGUCCUCCCUUAUUUCAAAUCAAGAUUUUCUAUUAAAGAGUAAAUGAUAAUACAUUAUUGUCAACUUACUCUUCAUCAUCACAACCAUCAACAAUCCAAGAUAGUGUAUUACUAGCAUCACGUUUCUAAUUUAUCCUUCCUCUUUAUUUUGUUCAUCAACCUUGAAUUAAAUUGGACAUAAACUAGAUUUUCCAUCCUUGUGGCAUCUAUGCGGUUCCUCUUCUUGGUGUGUACCUAUAUAAGGAAGUUGAAAAUUUUUAGUAUGCUAAUUUAAAUUAUCAAACAACUACUAAAGUAAUAAUUAAAAUGCAUCAACGUAAUUAUUUAAUUAGUACUUACUCCUUCAAAGAACUCCAAUAUCUCUAACAAUCGGAUGAACAAGUAGUCAAAUCAAGAACUAUUUUAUGUUAAUGCCCAGAUGAAGAUUUAUGGAAAAGCAAAACCUUAGAGAUUGUUGUAUAUAAUUGAUGGACUAAAGUGAUGUGGGCUAAUAUGAUGUUUAUUGGACUCAAUUUUAUUUUUUGAAGUUACAAAAAUGGGUUGAACUUUGUUAUGCUAAUUCAAACAUAUUUUUUUAAUUACAAAUGCGUGGGCAUUUUGGAGAAUAUGCGCGCAUAUGUGGUCAAUGGAAUGAGUUGACUGCAUUAUCUCGCGCAUACCUCAUAUGCGAUGCGCUUCGAAAAAGCAUCAAGAAUAUGCGUGCAUUUUAGAACACUGGUCAGGAGAAUGGAUUCUAUGUAGGAGAUGUUGUUGUUGAGACCGAUUGACCAAUAAUGCAGGAAUUGAGAUCUAAUGAAUUCCACUUGUUGUAUUUGAAGUAUUGAACAAGAUCACAAAUAACUCAAGAACAAGAUUAAAGUAAGUAAAAGAAGAACUGGCAGAAGAAACGACGCUUUAUGAAUUCACUAUAAAAGGAGAGCACAAUACAGCAAAAGGUUUCAAUAAAACUGACAGAGGAGCCUUGUAUUUAUAGUAUAAAAUCUAACCCUAAAAGAAUCCCAAAAAAGGUAAGAAAUCUAAUGCAAUUUAGACUCCUAUUUGAGUCACACUUCUAACAACCUCCACCUUGACUCAAAUUCCAGUGCAACGAACGAAGUUCCAAAAUUUCUCCACCUUGAGAAAUAAUUCGUCUGCAUUAGAAUGAACUGACCAAUCUCCUCAACGCAAUAACCAAACUCUCCACGAUAACACAUUCCCCCGCCCGGCGUCCACAAGUGACACCCGAAUCCAAACCCGGGUUCCCAAAAUUCCUCUUGGAAUUAACAAUCACUGGACAAGGUCGAAGCACACCCUGUAGCAGAAACCACACCAAAUGCACAAUCAGAAGGUCCCUUGCCAAUAUUGUCACCUUCAAUGAUUUCUAAAGCAUUACAGACACCUCCAAAACUGUACCUACGCUUCAUGAGUCCAUUGGCAUUACAAGAACAUAGUGUACUCGCUAAAAUUGGUGGCAAAGCGGAAUCAUCAACACUCCCUUGAGCAAAGUUCUUAACUAACCCAGAGCUAAACCUGAGAGGUACCGUACCAAAUUGAAUGUCCACCACGGUACUGAACUUGUCCAAAUAUCUCUGAACUGGUUCUGAGCUCCCCUACAAGAUAUACAACUGGGAUUUUCUCCGUCCCUCCAGCACAACCUGGACACCCCUUCGAACCUUCAAGACUCCGCCUCCACCAGAAAAUUUGUACCCUUUUUCAUCCAAUGUACUGAGUGAUAUGAGAUUCUUUGUCAAGUCUGGAACAUGGAGAACCUGAUCAAGUGUCCUCACUGUUCCAUCCUAUAGCCUCAAUCUGACCCGAUCGAUUUCUGUAACCCGACAAGAUUGGUUGUUUCCCAUAACAACUCCACCUUGCUUCACCAUCUCAUAUGUUUGAAACAAAGCCCUAUUGGGACACAUAUGAUACGAACAAGCAGAAUCCACUCCUCAGGUUUGGUCCCCCGUCAGAUACAGCCAACAUCACAUCUCCAUCAUCACAAAAAUUUUCAGCAAUAUUAGUCUCGUUCGAAUUACUUGAUUGCUCCACAUGAUUUGCAUGUAAAUCACAUUUACCUUGCAACUUGUCGCAAUCUUUCUUGAUGUGUCCUUUCCUCUUGUAGUAAUAACAAUACACAUUGCUGUACUUCACCUUCGAUCUACCCCUCCGUCGAUCACCAUGAGUAACAAGAGCAUCUCUACUCCUAGAUGCAGGAUCUCCAACCAACAACUCCAUCUUCUCUUUUGAGAACAGGGCAUCGUAUACCUCUUCAAUGGAUAACGUGUCACGACUAUAUAGAAUAGUAUCACGAAAUGACGAAAAAGAAUUAGGUAGCAAACACAACAGGACCAAGGCUAGAUUCUCUUCAUCAUAUUUUACCUCCAACGUCUCCAAAUCUGCAACAAUCUCCUUGAACACAGCAAGGUGGUCCUGCAGUGACCCUCCUUUCGCCAUCGGAUGAGAAUACAACCUCUGCUUUAGAGUUAGUUUGCUCGUCAAACUCUUUGUCAUGCACAACUGCUCCAGCUUAAGCCACAAAGCAGCCACUGUCUUCUCCUUCAAAACAUCUUGCAGCAAAUUGUUGGAUAAAUGAAGUUGGAUUUGGCUAAAUCCUUCCGAUCCUUCUGUUGUUUCUUCUCCAUAGACAAGCUUGCUAGCAUCCUAUCAAAACCCAACAAAGCAUCAUCAAGAUCCAUCUGCGUCAACACAGCUCUCACUUUACUUGCCACAGCGAAAAUCUUGUAUUGCGAUCCAAUAGCUAAAUUUCAUACUUCAACGAAUUCAUCUCUAAAAAAUCUCAACCAAAUCCGAAAGAACUUGCAACCUGCAACACCCAAAAAAACUGAAAACUACCGAACGUGCAAGGGGCAAAAUAGUCCAGAACCACAAUUUUGCUCAAAUUGAAAUUGGACACCACCACAAGGUCCGUCUCUUCAUCCGGAGAAAACUGCCUAAAGACACCGUCGUCGAAAACCGCCUCACGCGCCGCCACUCGUUCGCCGAAGUUACCACCGUCGGCGACUGGUCGGAAAAUGCGCCGACGACCUGUGAUCCUAUCUGGAUCGUUUCUGCCUGCUGAGUCCACUGGUGGUAUUCGUUUCUCCAAAUUCUUUUUGGUUUGACAAGAAAACACAAAAACAGAUCCGGCAAAAAAUCGAAAAAUUGGACAGAUUCGUUUUCUGAUUUUCUGCUAAUUUUCAGACGAUUUUCCGAUCAAUUUCAGGCCAAAAAUCCACCAACAACCCCGCUCUGAUACCACUUGUUGAGACCGAUUGACCAAUAAUGCAAGAAUUGAGAUCUAAUGAAUUUCACUUGUUGUAUUUGAAGUAUUGAACAAGAUCACAAAUAACCCAAGAACAUGAUUAAAGUAAGUAAAAGAAGAACUAGUAGAAGGAACGAUGUUUUAUUAAUUCACUAUGAAAGGAGAGCACAAUACAGCAAAAGGCUUCAAUAAAACUGACAGAGGAGCCUUGUAUUUAUAAUAUAAAAUCUAACCCUAAAAGAGUCCCAAAAAAGGCAAGAAAUCUAAUGCAAUUUAGACUCCUAUUCGAGUCACACUUCUAACAGUUGUUUGGGGAUAAAGUUAGGAGUCAACCGUUGUGGCCUAGACAUUGGAUGCUUUUGCUAAAGGUGAAGAUGUUGGUGUUGAGCAUAGUGAGAGUGGGAUAUAUAUGCCAAGAAUUAAUAGCAAUGAUAAUAAUGUUAAUACAGUAAGUGGGCAUAAGGGAAAUAUUAGGCUACCUAAGAUGGAUUUUCUACUUUUUGGGGGAAGAAGGACUUAUGGAGUGGCUAAAGAAAGCUAUAAAAUAUUUUCAACUUCAUAAAACUCCCAACAAACUUAGAUUGAGAGUUACUGAUAAGUACUUGGAAGGGAAAGCUUAUAUAUGUUUUAUGGAUUCACUGCAAACCAUCCUAGGAUAGAUUGGAGUUUAUUCUCUAAAGAACUUUGUAGGAGCUUUUUAGAAACUAUUGAGGAAGAAGCGGUUGAAACAUUUAGCAACAUUAAGUAACUAGGACCAAAUGAAGAGAAACGCUAUGAGUUUGAAAGAGAAUCAGGAAGGGAGUUGAGAAUUUUGGAGAAUUGGUCGACUAUCGAAGAAAGGAAGAGUCAAGUUGAGAUAAAAGUUGCUGAACUAAGUGGUGUAUUGCAGCCAAUGUGCAUAGAAUCAUCAUUGCCUUAGGUUGGAAGCAAUGGAAUUAAAUCUUGGCAGUCUUUAAUUCAACAAACGAAAAUUGUAUCCAUUUCAUCUAGGAAGGAAAAUCUGGGCAAUGAAGAACAUAAAUUUUUAACGAGUGACCUUAUAGAAUUGGGAUAGAUACAAGGGAUUAAGAUGACAUUAAAAACUACUAAGGAACAUAGUACGAAAAUUGAGUUGGGGUGUGGUUGCUGCUCAACUUCUAAAGCAGAAAUCUGAGUCCCUUCGGGUUAGGGAUGUAAAGAGUUUGCUCGAAACUCUUAAGGUAAGGAUUUCAGAUUCGAAGACAAACUUUAGCAAAGAAGAAUCAAUGAUUGAGAUUCUUAAUAAAGCCUUAUCUUUUAAGGAAGAAAAUAAGUACAUUUAAGGAUUUUGUUACCAAAACUUAAGUCAGUUAUACCUGGUAGGGUAGAAAAUGAGUGGGUUGAGACCCUUCUUAAUUGUUCUUGAAAUCUAAUGGAUCCAAAUGCUGCAAUCACAAUGCUCGUAGAAUGGUCAAAACAAAGAAAUUCCUCUGUUUUUGAAUUUGAAAUUAAGAAUAUAGGAGAUGAAGUUUUGUCUACUUUGAGUCGACAUUCAUUAGCAGCUCAACACCUAAACCUUCUACCAAUAAUUCUUUUGCCAGUAAUAGAGAAUUCGAAUUUAUUGGAAAAAAAUGUGGGAGCUCAGAACAAGAUGGAUGAAGAAAAAAAUGAGUCGCAUGAGUUCCAUGUGGCAUAAAUCACUUUGCACUACUUGCUUAAUCCAAGGGCAGUGAAGAGAAUGAUGCGGCUAAUUUCAUACAAAGAAGACAUCCCAACUUUAAACCUUGAGGACAAGGUUAAUUUAAGGGGAAGAGAUGUUAUGGAUUGGACCAUUUACUUUUAUUUCUCCCCUUCUCUUUGAAUCUCCGCUUCUCCUCUGGCUUCUUUCCUUUUCUUCUUCUACUUCUUCUCUACUUCUGUACUCUUCUUCUUCUUUGUAUCUCUAUUUUUCUAUGUUUUCUUAUUCUUAUUUUUCAUCAUUUAAUCCUUCCUCAUUCUCCUUUUAUCUUAAUUUGGUUCCAAAUUUAGCUGGUUUCAGCUAGAUUACUUCAAUUUUUGAACUGUGCGAGUGGAUGGUUGUGAAUUGAGGUUUAGUUCGUGACAGUAUCCUUAUUUUAAUCAAUCAAUGCAAAAAUGAUCAUUUCAAUACCAUUUCAUCCAUUUUUUCCAUUAAAUAGGUGUUUGCAUUUCACAUUUCAUAAUUUAGAAGGGUAGUAUUAUUUGUACACUUUAACCCUUAUUAUUUAACAUCAAUAAAAACAAUAUGAAUAAUGGAAAACGAAAAUAAAAUAAGAGAACAAUAUUCUAAAAUAAUAAUCUUCCCAAACGCAACCUUAUCCUUACCUUUUUCUAACCUUGCCUCCAUGGUGACAACUGUAGCAGGAACAUCAAUAUUCCCGCUUAAGCCUGUGCUAACUAGCAAUGCUACAAGAGUCUGAAUCUCCAAAUCAGAAAAAUCAGUGGAACCUGAAAAGUUGAAACCAAAACAAAAGAAAAAAUAUUCUCGCUAAUUUUAGUGUGUUCUUUGAGGAAUCACGACCAUCAUUAAUGCCUUUAGGAUGGGAAUGAGAGGAGGAGAAGAUAGAGGACGAUAAGUCCUGGCGGUGUCCACAGAGGAGGCAUAGUUAUACUAGUGUCACUAUCGAAAUUCACCUUGUGUGCCGGUAGCUUUCAUGAACAAAUUGUACAUAAAUAAGAAUAUAAUAGUUUAAAAGCCACGAAAAAAAAAUCUAGCGUAAAAGUAAUUGGCACAAAACAUAUUUAUCUUUUUCCCUCGCAUACUAUCAUUCCAAAUUUUGCAUUUUUUAUCCUCAUUUUGAUCAAUCAAUACGAAAAUGAUCUCUUCGGUACGGCUUCAUCCAUUUUUUUCAUUAAAUAGGUGCCUGCAUUUCACAUUUCAUAAUUUAGAAGGAUAAAAUUAGUAGUACACUUGACCCUUAUUAUUUAACUUAGAAAAACAAUAUAAAUAAUGGAAAAAAAAAGAGAACAAUAUUCCAUAGUAUCCAUCUCUCCAAAUCCAACCCAGCCCACCCCUUCUAACCAUGCCACCACCACCACCAUCAAUGGUGACAGCAAUGGCACCAGCACUAGUAUUCCACAUUAUGCCUGCAACACUAGCGAUGCCAUAUGGGUUUGAAUUUGCAAAUCAGAAUUAGAAGCAGUGUAACCCAAAAAUUUGAAACAAAAGAUAUUAUACUAAUUUUAGUAGAUUCCUUGAGGAACCAUGGCUGUUGACUUUAACAAUAAUGUCUUUGGAUGCGAACAAGAGGAGGAGGAGGUAAAGGAUGGUAAGUCUAGUGGUGUCCUUGGGAGGAGGCAUAGUUAUUACUAAUGUUACUAUUAUCUAAAGUGAUGGGCUUUUGGUGAACAAGGAGAUUUUGAAAUUUUUCUUUUUCUUGGGUGCUGAUUGGGGUGAAUUAAUGAUUUUCUAAGUUUUUCAAUACGAAAAAUGUUGGCGAUCCAAUGUAUAUAAGCUAUAUAGAAUUCAAAAAAAGAAAUAUUUUGAACGUGGGACUUGUUAUGUAUUUUGAUCAGGAGAUAUUGAUAAGUUGUCAUACUUGAAGAUUAAACAAACCCUAGAAAUGCCUACAUCAGGAUGCUAGUCGUGGUUUUGGCAUGGAGGAGGUAGAGAGGCAUGGUUGAAAGGGGUCUCAAAAGAGAAUGGGUUGGGUUUGGCCCAUUUGGGAUAGAAUGUUGUUUUCCAUAUUACUUUUGAUUUUUCAUUAUUUAUGAUGUGAUCCAAGGGGGGAAAAAUAUUGAGAACUUGUUGAUUGGGGGACAAGAGAUCGAGACCAAGUUUCAAGCUUAAUUCGAGCCCACAAGACCAAGCAAAUACUUGUUCGAGCUAUGGAGUUGAUAGGGAUGAGUAUAACAAGACAAAUAACAACUUACUUGUUGGUCAUGAAGACAAAAUCGUAUUUGGUGCAUUGAAUUCAAGUUUUGGAAGAUAUAUGGAAAAACAAGUAGCGUAGAUUAAAAUAAGUAUAACUUUUAGCUCAAGUGUUGGAUUUUCGCUCAUGAGUACAAUUCGAAAUCGUCAUGAAAUUUAACACAAGAAAAAAGAGGAUCCAAAAAUAAAGUUAUGCGAUGGCAUAGCAUAAGUCCAUGCGACCGAAUACUUUGUUACAAAACCAAAAUUGAAAUUUGAAGAAUGAACUAUGCAACCACAUGACGUAUAUACUAUGCGACCGCAUAGUCCGAGUCUGAGGCAAUUUUUUCCUUUUUUUGCGAAACUUUCCUAAUUACAUCAAAACUGUAUUUUUAUGAUAUUUUUGACUUGAUUUUUAGGUUUUCCUAUAAAUGGUUCAUUACUCUCAUUGUAAAGAAGAUUUUUGACAUGAUUAAUUGAGAGAUUUCUUGAAAGCCAACUUGCUUCCAAUUCUUUUGUUCUUGAUUCAACAAAUAAUCAAACUUAUCAAGAUUAUUAUCUUGUGGCAUUCAAAACUAUUGAGUGAGAUUCUGAAAUCUUUAAAUCAAGAGGUCGACAUAUCAAUUGAUUGUUGGUUGCUUGAUUCAGUAUUUCUUGGUUAAAUCCAAAACCUUAGUUUAGUUGGCUUUUUUGGGUUUGGUUCAAUCUCUUUGUGGAUUUCGUAACAAUUGUUGCUAUGCAGGUUCACAUUAGUUGGUAUCAGAGUUUGGACUCCAAAAUCAGGGUUAUAUCAUUUUUCGUUUUGUUGAGUCCUUUUAUUUUUUUCGUUUUCCGCAUUCUUUGUGUUCUUUAUUAUUUUUGAAUCUUUGACCACCAAUUUUUCGUCAAAUUUUUUAAAGUUGUGUUUGGGCUAAUUUAACAUCCAAAACGGCUUCCGUUUGUUUUGUUGGUGUCGUAGUCGAGUUCUCUAUAAAUACAAUAAUAAAAAAAAGUUGAAAAAAAAUUCCGAAAUCAAAAAAAAAAGGAGGGAGAAAAAUCUAUUAUUGAUUUGAUUUAUUGGGGAAAUUACUAGCAUACUAUAAUUUUUCAAAAUUUUAUCCAAAAAUUCUUUUAGUUCUUUUAAGGUCACAAUUCUCACUCACAUCCGCUUUGAAUUCUACGAGAAUAAUUUAUGGUUGAGUUCAAAAUUGUAAGCACUUGAGGAUGUAUGAAAAGGGCAGAAUGGUGAGAUCGAUAGAGGGUAAAAACCAAAAUUUGAAUCACACACAAGAGAAAAAUAUACUUGAGGAAGAAAUUAUUUUAGAUUUAGGAUGUAUGACAGGGUAGAUUCAAUCUCAAGCAGGAACCAAGAUCAAAUCAAUAGGUCAUCAGAGGUGAUACAGCGAUUUGAAAGAAUGUUUAGGUAUAUUAGAGACAAACAUAGAUAGGUAUGAUACAACAGUUGCUAACUUUCAAAUGAGGGAGCGUGUAGAAACAUCUAAUGCAUGGAGGCAAGGUAGGAGGGAGCCUAGGGUGGAUUUUCAUGGUGUAUAUGACGAUGGUAGUAACAUGGAUGAGGCUGUAUUUGCUGAGGCUGAAAUACGGAGAAUGAGGGGUAGAGGAGUUGAUAGCAAUCUUGUAGGAGAUGGUGUUGAUAGGAGAGAUAGGCAUGAAAGAGAGUUUAGAGAGAAUCCUAGGAAAUGCUAUGGAGUUGGGAACCCGGUCAUGGAGGAAACACUUGUUUGUGAUACGUGCUAUCCAUACACCAAUCAAAGUGGAUGAUGUAGAGCAAUCCUAGGAUAAAAUCUUUCAAACUAGAUGUCAUGUCAAUAGCAAGUUAUGUGGUUUGAUUAUUGAUGGAAGUGGUUGUCUUAAUAUCGUUAGUACUAUACUUGUUGAGAAGUUAGGAUUGAUUACAACCAAACACCUAAACCUUAUAAAUUACAAUGGUAAGAUGAAUGUGGAGAGGUUAGGGUAUAUAUGCAAGUGUUGUUAAGUUUCUCAUUUGGGAGGUAACAUGAUGAAGGGUUGUGUGAUGUAGUUCUUAUAUAUCCUUAUCAUAUUUUGUUGGAAAUGCCAUGGCAGUAUGAUAGGAAGGCAAAACAUGAUAAAUUCAAAAAUAGGUACAACUUUACUAAGGAUGGAAAACCUACCACUCUUUUGUCGUUGAUAUCACAACAAGUGUAUGAAGAUCAACCCAAAGUAAAAAGUGAGAAAGAGAAAAGAGCGAGAUAAAUCUUCCGCAAUAAGAGAGCAAGAGAGAAAACUCUAAGAUGGCUAAUUGUAAUAAAAGGAAGAAGAGCCACAAGAGAGUGAAAAUGAAAUAGAAAGUGAAUAAGUGGCUAAAAGAAAAAUGGAGCCACAACUGGGAAAAGAAAGAGAGUAUUCAGAGAGAAAAGGAAAAGUUAGAAGUAAGCUUACAUGAAAAGGAGAGUGAGUUGGAGAGGGCUUUAGUGAGAACUAAUAAUUCCCUCUCUUGUUUGGCUAUUUCUAUCUUAUAUGGUUUUGAAGACUUGUUACAUGAGAACAAGCCUAUUGAGAUACCAUACAAUUUAGGUAUUGAGCAUCAACUUGUGGAUGAAGCUAACCAAUCCUAUCCUUGUUUGGUUAUCUCAGUAUUACCGGAGGUAAACUUUGUGAUCCCUAAGGAGACAAAAGAGUUUAAAAGGCAAUGAAAAAAAUUUAGAUGCAGGGGGUUGAAUGACAAAGAUGAUAUGAGGGGCAACAUAAAUUCAUGUGCAGUGUCAUUGCUACGAGUACCUUGGUAAAUAGGACAAAGCGGAUACAUGAUGACUUACCAAAGGAGAUUGUUCUUGAAGCAUCUUGAAAUUGCAAAAAGAAGGCGUCGAGAUGUGUACUAUUUGAUCCAUGCGAUGGUGAUUCCGUUCACAUACGAUAAAGGAGGACACGAACUGAAAGGAAGUCCAAACUACACCUUAGAGAAGAUGGACCAUUCCAUGUUCUUGCCAUAAUUGGUAGCAAGGGCUAUAACUUGGGUCUGGAUUUGAUAUCGAAUCCUUUUAAAUAGAGAUGUCAUGAUGUGAUCUGUUCACGAAAUAAUUAUUUCGAUCUCGCAAGUGUACGGGUCGUAACAAGUAAUAAAGUGGAUUUUUAACAGUUCGAAUAUCGUCUCUCAGAGAUUGAGUAGUUCAAUUCUAUAUAAUCUAGCCUUAACCGAAUCUAAUUGAGUGAAAAUAUGGUCCAAAUGCAAAAAGCCCUAAUUUCAAUUAAAAACCCUAAUUUCUAUUGAAAACCCUAAUUUCUCAAUUAGAAACCCUAAUUUCGAAAUUUUCCUAAUUAAAUGACUCAAACACUCAAGUAAGUGAAAUUAUGUAAAUUCAAAAGCUAAUUUAUGGAAAUUAAUCAAACUAAAGUCACUAGGAUCACGAAUCCCCAAUUGAAGUUAUAAAAACCCUAAUUUCUUAAAAUUAAUGAUUCGAUGAAAAUUUGCCAAUUCAAUGUUUCUAAUUCUAUCCAAUAUACUCUCUUGAUAUAUAUUGGACCUAUUCUUGCACACCACCAGCCUAUAUCUCUAUGGAUGAUGCAAACAUACAAGAAUGCAUGUAGUUUUGUGAACAAUUUAAGAAUUGCAUAAAGCAUAGGGGUAUAUCUCUAUCCCCUAUCAGACCCUAUGUUAAUUUACACCUUAUCGAACCUAUUCCACUUCUCUCGAAUGUAAGAAAUAAGUCAUCAACACUUACAAAAUCAUUGGCCACUAAUUGCGGAAGAAAAUUAAUGCAUGUAAAUAAAUCAAAUUAUCUAAACGAGUCUUUAUAUUAAAUUCAUGAAAUAUAGAAUUAAAAUAACAAACAAUGGUUCAUCGAUCACCUAGUAAUUGAAAACCUAGCCUAGAAGAUUCAUAAUUACAGAAAAAAAAAUGAGAUUAAUAAAUAGAAAGAAUAACACCCGUAUGAAAGUUCUUGAAAUCUGAAAUCUUGAAUAAAACCUGGAAAACCAACUUGAAUCCUUGUGAAAUCGGCUUCAAGUACGUGUUAAUUGCCUCCAAAAGUUGUAUUAUUCUUCUCCCUGGACGUUCUGCCCUAUUUCUGAUGAAUUUUGGCCUUUAUAUCAUGUCCUCACGGAGCCCCGAAAGAGUUUCAAUUAAGAACAGAAGUUUAGAUUUUUUUUUCGAUCCUAAAGCCAUGCGGCCGCAUGGUGUUAAACCAUGCGACCACAUGGUUCAAUUUUUCAACUCAAUUAAAACCCUACUAGACCAUGUGCGGCUACAUGGUAUAGUUACAUGCGGCCGCAAGGUUGUAACUUUACAACCUUGCCAUUUUGGUCCCUGAACUCCGUUUUCUCUUUUCUUGAUCUCUUUUCUUUCUUUCCUUUGUUCCAUUAUCAAAUAUUGACUCCUAAUUGAUGUUUGGGUCAAUCAAUUCCUUGAUCAUUUGCUCGGCUCAUCUUUUGAUUAAUUGCAAUUUAGUCCUUCAUCUUUCACUUUUCUUCAAUUCAGUCCAAGGUUACUUUUUUCUUCCUCCGAUCGUCUUGUAUCGUCCUCAAUCUCAUGCUUGGUAUAUUUUCAUUCUAGUUCUGCACUUAGCUCAACUUUUCAAUAUUUACACCUUUGGUCCCCGCACUAUCGCUUUGUUCCAUUUUGGUCCUUUUUCGGCUCUUUUCUUCUGAAUUUCAUCUUUUCCAUAGAAACACCUACAUUGCAUGAAUUUAACAAGAUUAAAUCACAAUUCAACUACUUUGUCCAUAUUUAAGUCAUGUUUGUGAGCUAAAUAAGUGUGUAAAAACACACUUAUCAUGAUCCAAGGGAGGGCAAAAAUUAUCGAAAACAUGUUGAUUGGGAGACGAGAGAUCGAGACCGAGAUUCAAGCUUAAUUCGAGCCCACAAGACUGCGCAAAUACUUGUUUGAGCUAUGGAGUCGAUAGGGAUGAGUAUAACAACCCAAAUAACAACUUACAUGUUGGUCAUGAAGGCAAAAUCAUGUUUGUGCAUUGAGUUCAAGUUUUGGAAGAUAUUUAGAAAAACAAGUAGUGUGGAUUAAAGUGGGCAUAACUUUUACAUUUUUGCGGACUUCACCCUAAUCUUUAAUUUGUGCCAAUAAAGGUCUCUAACCUUUCAGAAAUAUGCAAUUGAGGUCCAAAUGGAUGGAUUUGACCGUUAAUUGGCCAUAAGUCAAAGGGUUAACUGAAUUUUGACCAAUUUUAAAAGGUUAAAAUAGCAAAUUUAUAUUUUAGAUUGGGUUAACUUUCUUUUUAUUUUAGUUAUGGACUCAUUCGAAGUAAUUGGAAAAGAAAGGAAUUUUGGGUAUCAAAAUCUCACUUAAAAAUUGAAGGACUAAAUUGCAUUAAUUUGAAAGAUUGAAUGGCAUGGAGAAACACAAAGUUAAUGGGCCAUCUUCCAAUUGGAAUUGGAAUAGGAAUGGGAAGUUGACUUUAUAUUAAAGAGAACUAAUGAAAAUCAAAUUGGGUCUCAAUUGUACUUGCAUUUGGAAUCUAAUUCAAUAAUUACUUGACUUCAUGAUAGUUGGAAGCAAUUGGAAUCCUAUUAACAGGUGGGCUAAAUUGGAUAUAUAUACACACACGCAUGCAAAGAAAACGACGAGGGCUGAAUUGAUUUUAGGACUACACUGUAUGUCUAGAAAGAGGGCUUCAGAAGCCCUCCAGAAUACAUACAAACAAGUGGGGCCCAAUUUUUUUUGGCAACAUUUAAUUUACUUGUGUCCCACCUUUCAUGUGAGUAAUUGUAUGAUUCUGUACAAAUACUUUUUGUACAAAUGGUUUUUUCCUUGAUUUUAUAUACACACAUAAAAAGGCGGCUAGGUGAAAUAUAUAUAUAUAUAUAUACACACACACACACACACAAAAACAAGGGGAAAAGAAAGGCGGCUGCUGUUGAAAAAAAGAAAAGGUAGAAUAUACACGCAGAAGACAUACAAGACGGAAUGACAAGAGUAGCAACUUGGAAAAUAAAUCACGUUCCGUUGAUUUUUCGUACAUCUUUUCAAUUUUAUUUGUUCAAUUCCAAUAUUAUGCUAUGCUAAAUUAUUUUAUACUAGAAUUUUCGAUGAACCUUAUAUUAUGAGUCUUUAACUCUUGAAUUUUAUUUAUUUUGACAUUUAAAGUACGAUCAAAUUACAAAUAUGGUGUGUAUACCCCCACCCCACCCUCGCCAACUUUCACACACAAAUGCACGCACCACGAUACACACACACACACAAAAAUUACUUAUCCUAUUUCUAUAUUUAUUGGUCAUCUAGAUUAUUAGCUCUUUCUCUGGUUAUUGAAUUCUUCCUAAUCUAGGUAAUUCCGCUAUAUUCAUUUGGGUUCCCUGUAUGAGAAAUUAAGGAAAGCAUUUAUUGAAGGUGAUUUGAUCUUUGGCUCAUUUUAAUAAGUGUAUUCAAUUGAGAUUCUUGAAGAUUUUGAUGCACUUUUUUAAGUGGUGAUUUUGUGGAUUUCGUAGUUAUUUCAUAGAUUUAUUUAGAAUUAGUGGAAGUAUUUUGUAAACUUCUAUAAAUUUUCAUUUUAAAACGUUUUAUAGACUUUUGUAGAAUUCAAAAUAUUUUAUAAAGACUUUCAUUUGAUGUCAAAUCCCCGUUGAUCCAGUACAAUAAUGUGAAAUUCUCACAUACAAUGUGGUAGUUUCCACAAUUUUCUUUCCUCUUCACCUUCUUAUAUAAUAAAAAAAUUAUUUAAAAAUAAUAAAAAUUAAGAUCUUAAUUAAAUAAAUAAUAAUCAAAAUUAUAUAUACAUAUAUACAUACAUAUGUAUAUAUACAUAUUCAUAGAAGGACAAAAGGAAAAAAAGAUUGGAAAAAAAAAAUUUUCUUGUGAAAGUCUCUCAAAACUCAUGAUUAAUGAAAGAUAAAUUUUGAGAUUCUAUGAAUACUUUCUACUUAAAAGUUAAGACUCUAGAGAUUUUUAUAAAGGUCUCUGGAAGUCAUUAAAAUUCGAAUACCUUAAGAUUUAUAGAGACUUUUAAAAUAUUUUAAUUGAAUAUAUUGUAACUUUUAGAGACUUUUUAAAAGUUUAUAAAAGUCUUAAUUGAAUACAUCUAUACUUUUAGAGGGUCUCAAAAAGUUGAGAUUGAAUAUCCUAAACUUUUUAAAUUCCCAAAAGUCAUAAAAGUCUCAAUUGAAUACACUCCUUAAAUGGAAGGCCUUUGAUGAAUACCUCAACAAAUAAUUAAGGAGAAUAAUUAAUAUUUAUUUGUUAAUUUCCUAUAACUCUUUGAGAACCGUCUAGACUUGGUAAUACCUUCUAAUUGUAGAACUAUAAUUAUAGUGUUAAUUGUACUGCUAUGUUUUACAUGAUCUUAAGUAUCCAUAAACUCCAUUGCAUUUUUAUAUAUUCAUAUCCGUCACAAAAAUAUAUAGUCGGUUCACAAGUAAGAAUAUGUUUAAUUUUACUGGAGAGAGACUGCUAAACAAAUUAGAAAUAUUGAUCUUAAUAAUUGAAUCGUGUUGUCAAAUUUAUAAAUUUCGGAUUAAAGGGGAUUGGUAUAAAUGGAGUCGAGAUCCUAGUGCGGGUUCCGUCAUUAUAUUUUUAUGAAACUUUUAUUUAACUGUAACUUUAGUAAACUUCUAUAGAAUUAGUGGAAGUAUUUUGUAAACUUCUAUAUAGACUUUAAUUUUAAAACGUUUAUAGAAUUUUGUAGAAUUCAAGAGAGACUUUUUAAAGAUUUUCACUUGAUGUAGAAUUCAUGUUGAUCCAAUACAAUAAUGUGAAAUUCUCAGGUACGAUGUGGUAGUCUCAACAAUUUUUCUUCCUCUUCACCUUCUUAUAUAAUAAAAAAUUAUUUUAAAAAGAAUAAAAUUGAAGACUUUAAUUAAAUAAAUAAUAAAAAAAUAUGCAUACAAAUGAUAAACAAUAAAUUUAAUAUUCAAUAUUAUUAAUGUAAUAUACUUUUAAAAAUAAAUAAAAAUCAAUAUAUUUAAAUUUAAUUAUAAAAUUUUCAUAAAAAAAUUUAUAAUUUAAUAAAAAUAUAGAUAUUUUCACAAAAUAUUGAAUGAAAAAAUGGAAAAAAGUUACAAGAUAGCAAUAUAAUUUUUUUUUCAUAGAAAAUAGAGAUAAACAAUAAGAAAUAGAGAAAGGUAUAAUGGAAAUAAAUAUAAUCAAUAGAAAAAAAAAUUAAUCAUACCUUAAUGUUUGUAGAAGGACAAAGGUGAAAUUCUUCCAAAAUCUCAUGAUUAAUGAGAGACAAAUUUUGAUAUUUUAUAAGUAUUAUCUGGUUAAAAGUUAAUACUCUGGAGGCUUUUAUAAAAAUUUCUAGAAGUCAUUAAAAUUUGAAUGUCUCAAAACUUAUAGAGACUUCUAAAAAGUUUCAAUUAAAUACACCAUAACUUUUAAAGACUUUUUAAAAGUUUAUAAAAGUUUCGAUUGAAUACAAUGUGCCUUUUAGAAACUUCUUAAAAGCCUAUAAAAGUUUCAAUUGAAUACAUCAAUACUUUUAAAGUGUCACAAAAAAUCUACAUUGAAUAUCCCUAAAUUUUUUAAAUUUCAAAAAGUCAUUAAAAGUCUCAAUUGAAUACACUCUCUAAAUGAUAGGCUUUUAAUGUAUACCUCAAUAGAUAAUUAAAGAGAAUAAUUACUAUUUCUUCAUUAAUUUCCCUCUUUGUCCAUUUUAUAACUCUUUGAGAGCCUUCUAGAUUUGGUAACUUGUUCUAAUUGUAGAACUAUAAUUGUAGGGUUAAUUGUCCUGCUUUCUUUACGUGAUGUUAAGUAUUCAUAAAUCUUUAAUGCAUUUUCAUAAAUUCAUAUCCAUCAUAGAAAUAUAUAGUUGGGUCACAUGUAAUAAUAUGUUUAAUUCUACUGGAGGAAGAUUGUUAAACAAAUUAGAAAUAUUGAUAUUUAGAAUUGAGUCGUGUUGUCAAAUUUAUAAAUUUCGGGUUAAAGGGGAUUGAUAUAAAAAGAGUUGGGAUCCUAGUGUUGGUUUCAUCAUCAUAUUUUUAUAAAACUUGCAUUUAAUUAUAACUUUGUAUUGAUUUUAAUUAAUCUAGGUUUUGCAUUUAUCAAUAGAUUGUUAGAUCAUGAUUUAGUUAGAGAAAAAUCACCAAUUUUUAUAGUUUUGGUUAAGGCUAAUUUAACUUGAAGUUGAACUUAAACUUGUACAAUCUCUGUGACAACGAUUUUUGACUUAAAAAAUCCAUUUUGCUACUUAUUAACGAAUCAUACACUUGUGGUAUUUUGGUCGAACAAUAUUUCAUCAACAUAAAUCAUAAACACAAUUUUUUUUCUAAUGAAAUUCUUGUUAUGUUCAAUAGAUUAGAUUUGUGUCCUUGCUCUAUUCGGUUUUCCUUCUUUUCUAUGAGAUGAUGUUUUUAUCUACUUAUCUUUACAUGACAAACAGAGACGAAUAAUUAUUUGAAGUAACUAUAAACAACUUUUCCAUACAAUAUUAUUUUUGGGUCCAUAUAGGGAUCCGAAUCAGAACCUAAUGUAUAAGUUGUCUAAUAAGAUUUAUUUUACUAAAGUUUACGGGAUGGGGUUAGGUUAAACAUCUUUUUUUUUCGCACUUUGUGACCUCAUAACUUAUCUAAUAUUUAUCCAUGCAUCAGAAUUUACACCUUAUAAUCGAAAAAGGAAAAAGUAUGCAAGGGAAAGCUUAUUAAUUUACAAUUGUAGGAAUGAACUCUAAGUUAGUAUAUGAAGGUCCAAAAUAUUAUCUGAUUUAUCAAUUACAAAAUAAGUAUACAGAUGAGGGAAAGCUUGAUGCAAAUUGUGCUAUGCGACAAAUGUCCGAUAUAGCUCAUAAAUAAAGAGCUAUAUGCGAUGCAAGAAAGCUCCUUGCUACCUCUAAUCUCAUUAGAUCAACUUAUACGAUAAGAAUAAAAUAUAAAAUUUCAAUUACUAUUAGAAGGUGCCUUUCAUUAUUGGAGUACAAUACAUCAUUACCUAUAUCUCAAGACCUAUUAACAUCUAAUGAAGAUAAGCGAAAGAAACGCAUAUACAUAAUAAUACUCUUUAAAUUUAAUUUUUUGCUUGCAAUGAAGAUAAGUGAAAGAAACACAUCCACAUACUGCAGUAACAAGUGUGGCCAAAAGGGGCUCAGCCCAUACUGCUGUCGAUCGCGAUUUUCCCAAAACUCUAUUCGCCACAGUUUGCACAGUUGAACUUCGUUAAACUCCUUUUUGCUAUUUUUAAAUUUUUCUAAGUAUUUUUUCAUCCGUUUGGACUCUUUUUUUGAAGCAUAGCUCUUAAAAUUCUUUGACCACUAUAAAUAGAAAAGUUUUUUUUUUUUUUUUUGGUCAUAAGAAGGGGUUUGUACCAUUAGAAACAAAAUGGAGAGAAAAAUCAAAGCAAAAAUCAAGAGAACUAGGGUAUGAUUUGGCAUAGGAGAAAGAGAUUUUUGCUACAAAAUCAUCAAACUUUUCCUUGUUUUUCCUUCAAACUCGAUUAUAUUUCUUGUAUUUAUAUUCUUCCAUGAUGUACAGUCAUUCCUUUAAUUGUUCAGUUUUUUACUUUCAUCUUAUCCCUUCUCAUUCACAUCUUCUUGCAUUCUCAAAGUUUUCUUUGAAAAAGAGAAGGUAUAAAAAAAGAGAUCAAUCACAAAAUAAUAAUAAUAAUAAUAAUAAUAAUAAUAAUAAUAAUAAUAAUAAUAAUAAUAAUAAUAAUAAUAAAGCGAAAGUUAAAAAUGAGCCUUACCUACUUUAACUAUUUAUCUCCUUUUUCCUUUUCAAGGUUUGAGUUAUCUGUUUUCAUGCUCUCUGUUUUUUUAUUUUAUUUUAUUUUAUUUUUUUAAUUUCUUUGGUAUUGAUGGAGAGAAGAUCUUAUGGAAAAUGUUAAUAACCAGUUAGAAAGUGAGAUCUUUUGGACUUCAUGACUCGAGUAACUUGAUGUACGAGACAUAUUACAAUUUUUAAUACACAAAAUAAAUGCAAUUUUGACAGAGCUAUAGAAUAUAUAAAAUGAAAUUUUUUCUUUAUUUAAUUUGGUACGAUAUGUCAUUUAUGGCUCUCUCUCUCUCUCUCUCUCUCUCUCUCUCCAUCAAAUUCAAAUUUCAAAUCGCCUUUGUACUUUUUUCAAGAGACUACAUUGAGUUUAAAAUUUCAAAAGUAAAUAAAAAGUUCAGAAUUUAAUUUUACAUUCAUAAUUAGUAACCCAAAUCCCACUAACUCGAUGAUAUACUCUAAUUUUUACGCGUACUUUUAUUCUUGCAUGAUGUAUACUCUUUUACUUUCAUUUUAUUCCGUCUUAUUCUUAUCGUCUUGCUUUCUUAACCUUUUCUUUGACAAAGAAAAAGAAUAAAGAAAAGAAACCAAUAACAAAUAAAAAUAAAAAUAAAAGUAAAUGAUAAAAUAUUUAAAACAAAAGCUAUAAAUGAGCCUUGCAUACCUUAACUGUUUUUCUCCCUUUUCCUUUACGAGGUUUGAGUUAUCUAUUUUCCUGCUCGUUUUAUUUUUUAUUUUUUGGUUUUGUGUGAGAGAAAGUGUGAUCUUUUGGAAGUCUGGACUCAAAUGGCUUGAUGGACGAGAAAUAUUAAAAUUUUUAAUAUACAUAACAAUUGAAAUUUUGAGAGAGCUAUGGAAUAUCAAUUUUUUUCUUUAUUUAGUUUGGAAUGAUAGGUCAUAUCUAGAUUUCUCUCCAUCAAAUUCAAAUUAAAAAUCCCCUUCGUAUAUUUGUCAAGAAAAUGCAUUGAGUUUUUAAAGUUCAAAAGAAAAAAAGAUUCUAGAACUUAAUUUUACAUGAAUAAUUAGGAACCCAAAUUCCACAAACUCGAUGAUGUACUCAAUGAUAUACUCUAAUUGUUUCUUAUAUUUUUAUUCUUUCAUGAUCUAAAAUCUUUUCUAUAAUUGCUGUCUUUUUUUUUUCAUUUCAUUCCCUCUUAUUCCUAUCUUCUAGCCUUCUGACCCUUUUCUUUGAAAAACAAAAAGAAUGACAAAAAAAGACCAACUACAAAAACCAAAAAAAGGAAAAAAAAAAAUCAGAGCAAAAGUUACAAAUUACCUUGCGUACUUUUAUCGUUUUUUCCCUCUUUCUUUUCGUGGUUUGAGUUAUCUAUUUUUUUGCUCAUUUUCCUUUUAUUUCUUUGGUUGAGCGAGAGAAGACCUUAUGGAAGUUGGAACAUAUAUUACAAAUGUUACAAUUAGGAAGUAUGAUAAAUGCAUUGUGUUUAAAAAUUCAAAAGAAAAUUAAAAAAAAAUCCUGAAUCUAAUUUUGCAUUAAUAAUUAGGAACCCAAAUCCCACAAGCUCAAUGAUAUCCUCUAAUUUUCUUGUAUUUUUAUUCUUCCAUGUUGUAGAAUCUUUCCUUUAAUUCGUUCUAUCUUUUACUCUCAUUUAUUCCCUUCUUAUUCCUAUCUUCUUGCAUUCUUGAACCCCUUUUUUUUUUUAUGAAAAAGAGGAGGUAUAAAAAGAAAAGGUGACCAAUCACAAAAUAGAAAUAAGAAAAUAUAAUAAUCCGAAGCAAAAGUUACCAAUGAGCCUUGCAUACAUUAACUGUUUCUCUCCCUUUUCCUUUUCACGGCUUCAAUUAUCCAUUUUCCUGCUCGUUUUUCUUUUUAAUUUCUUUGGUUUUGAGCAAGAGAAGAUCUUAUGGAGAACAUAUUAAAAAUGUUAAUAACCAGUUAGAAAGUGUGAUAUUUUGGAAGUCUUGACUUGAGCGGCUUGAUGGACAACACCUAUUACAAUUUUUAAUGCACAUAACAAAUGAAAUUUUGAUAGCGUAAUAGAAUAUCUGAAAUGAAUUUUUGUCUUUAUUUAAUUUGGUAUGAUAUGUCAUAUGACUGUCUCUCUCAUCAUAUUCAAAUAUAAAAUUCCCUUCGUUCAUUUGUCAAGAAAGUGCAAUGAGUUUAAAAAUUAAAAAAAAAAUACAGAAUUUACUUUUAUAUUAAUAAUUAGGGACUCAAAUCCCACGAGCUCAGUGAUAUACUCUAAUCUUUCUCUUGUAUUAUUCUUUUUCCUGGUACAUUAUCUUAAAUUUUUUUUUAAUUGCUAUGUUUUUCACUUUCAUUUCAAUCCUUUUUAUUAUUCUCUUCUCGCCUUCUUAACCUUGUCUUUGAAACAAAAAAGAAUAAAAAAGUGACCAAUAAAAAAAUAAAAUAAAUAGAAAUUGAAAGCAAAAGUUACAAAUGAGACUUACAUAAUUUAACCCUUUUUAUCCCUUUUCCUUUUCGAGCUUUGAGAUACCUAUUUUUUUUGCUCAUUUUCAUUUUAAUUUCUUUGAUUUUGAGUGAGAGAAGAAGAUCUUGUUGAAGUGAAACAUAUUAUUAAUGUCACAAAAUAGUUAGAAGGUGUGAUCUUUUGGAAGUCUUGACUCAAGUCACCUGAUGGAUAAAACAUUACAGUUUUUAAUACACAUAACAAAUUAGAUUUCGAGAGAGAUUUAGAAUAUCUAAUAUGGAAUUUUUUUAUUUAAUUUGGUACGAUAUGUCAUAUCUUGUUGCCUCUCCAUCAAAUUCAACUAUUUUCGGAGAAGGAGAGAUUAUAUGCUUGUCGAUUCAAGACAUGAUCUGAAUCCUAUAGGAUAUACUGAUUCCGAUUUUCAAUCCGAUCUUGACUCUAAGAAGUCUACAUCGGGAUCAGUAUUUACACUGGGAGGUGGAGCUGUGGUAUGGAGGAGUAUCAAGCAACCUAGUAUUGCUGAUUCCACCAUGGAGGCAGAAUAUGUAGCGAUUUGUGAAGCUGCUAAAGAAGUUGUAUGAUUCAAGAAGUUUCUUUUGAACCUAGACGUGAUACAUUUGGCAAUGGGGUCCAUAACACUUUAUUGCGAGAAUAGUGGGGCGGUUGCCAAUGCUAAAGAACACAGGAGUCAUCAGCGUGGCAAGCACAUUGAGAGAAAAUAUCACCUUGUUAGAAAGAUUGUUCAUCGAGGAGACGUAACGGUUAGUAAGAUUGUAUCAGCAGAUAAUCUUGCGGAUCCGUUCACUAAGACCUUACUAGCUAAGAGUUUUGAUAGAAAUCUUAAGGGGAUGAGUAUUCUUGAUAUGUCACACAUACUCUAAGAAGAGCAAGUAGGAGAUUGUUAGCUUGAUGCCCAUUCUUCGAGUAGUGUUCUGUAAAAUCAUAUUAUGAAUUGAAGUUUGUCUAUUUACGUGUUAUAAUUUGAAGUGAUUAUCUAAGAUUCCAUGAUCAUAUAGGAUGUCACAAAUUUUAUACUCGAUGGAUCGGGUAGAGUAAGACACAAUUUGUGAUGUGAUCAAAAUUAUGUCGUUCACAAUUGGUACAUAAAGUUGGACACUUUAUGUUGAUAAAAUUGUACUGUUCUUAUUAAGAUUUGUCUAGAUCUUGAAAUAGGAACAAUAAUAUUUUUUGAUGCACAUUGAACGGGACCACGUAGAUGACUCAUUUGUGAUCAUUCGAAAUGAGACUCUAUUUGAUUAUCAAACAGGUCACCUAAAUCUUGAGUGAGUAAUGUACCCUUGAUUGCUAGUUCAUGUUCUUUGAGGUACAAAUGAGUAAAGUCUUAAAUAGAAGAUUGAUCUCAGUACUUUGGGAAUCGGGUCGAAACAAUUAGAGAUCAUAUACUUAUAAUAAUGGUAUCCAUUAAUCAUUGAGAUGAGACGAUCGUCACUCUAAGGUAUUUUCCUAGGCAAAUUGAACCUGAGCUCAGUAGGUCGACGAUGAGAUUGUUGGACUUUACAUUGUGAUUUGAUCACAACGAAUUUGCAGUAUAAAAAUGGUACUUAGAGGGUAAUAAAUAUUGAAAAGCAAAAAUAGUCAUUUUGCCAGUUUUAACAUAUUGGCGGUCAAAUGAGAGUUGACUCGUGGAACGAUAAUCAGAGGAUAUUAUGAUUGGAUCAUAAUUGUUUCUAUAACUAUCACUCAACUUGAGAGUGCAAUCUCGAUUUUUUGGUAGAAUAAAUCGGGAUUAAUAGAAGUAUCUCAAUUGAUCAAGAGUUGGCCCAAUUGGAAACAUCUAUUGGAGCUUAGGUCAUGUGAGUCCGGUUAGAUCCCUCUCUUGGCUCCAAUAAAAUAUAUGUAACUUAAUUGGUCUACUACAAUAAAGUUCAAGGAAAUUUGUGCAAUUUCCAAACCCUAAUAGGGCAUUAUAAAUAUGCACUUUAUUAGCAUAUUUUAUAUGAGAAUUAGGGUUAGCCACUUUUCACUUUCUUGAAAGGAAAUACACCUAGUGAAGAACAAGGGAGAAGAUCUAAGGGAUGAAGCAAUUGGCUAUGCCAUUAAAAGCUUCUUCAAAAGGUUAUAAUCUCCCAUUUCUAUGUGUGAGGAUUUUUAUAAUCCAAUGAUCUCAAGGUUACUGAUAUCCUUUUAUUCAUAUGGUUUUAAUCUUCAAAGGAAAAUUAAUUUCCUAUUGUGAUGAUUAAAUCCAUUAACCAACAGUUUAUGGGCAAAAUUAAAAUAAUUUAUUAACAAGUAUGCUGAAAAACUGAAGUAACCCUGCUAUGUGUUAUGUUGAUCAAUUGUUUAAACAAAUAUUCCUUCUUUUUUUGGCAUAGGACAUAACAUAAUUGGAGGGUAGAUAUUGUGAAUCAACCAAAGUAUUCUAGUUCAUCGACUCUGGAAUUUGUAUGCCAAAAUGCUUUAAUGAUUUUUGGAUGAAUCACUAACAAGAUGCUAUUGUUAGUGUACUUGAACUUCGGAGACUAAGACUAGGAUUUAAGUAGUAUAUAAAGUAAAAUCUGCUUUCCUCCAUACCAAAGGAAGUUGCUUAAAACACAAUUAUAGAAUUGCGAAUGCACAUUUAGGAUUGGCUUGUCACUCCAUUCUGAUAUCAAUCAUGCUUGUGGUUACUUUUGUUGCAACAUUUUAAUUCUGUACAGAAAUUUUAUAUUUCCUUAUGGGCAUGGGGAUAGAUUCAUUCUGAGAUUGAUAUGGCCAAAAUGUUGUGUAGUCAGAAGGGAAAUUAAGCCGAUAUGUGUUAUCUCACGUGGUGUUAGUACUUUUGGCGUUUAAUACGAUCCUCACAAAUUUUCAAUCAUUUGCUUAGUUUCUGAGGUGUCUACAAUUUUUAUGUUGUGUUCGGAUGGUAAUGUGAAUAAAUUUUUAAGGGAUUUGUACGUGGACACGCAAUGAUUGAUUGAAUGCAUUUAAGGGCUAGUCGUACAUGCUUCGUGUUCAGUGAGCCUUCACGAUCUUGGAAGCUGAAUGACCUGUGCUCUUGAAUUUUCCCUUUGUUGAACUCUAUUGCCUGAAGAUAAAUUGAGACUGUGAUAUGUUGACUGUAGAAUAUGCAACAGCAACAGCAAGCCAAUAAAACACCUUGGCAGAAGCUUUGUGAAAAUGGAAUUAGAUUCUCAAUAUCAACCAAAAAGAAAUUGAUGCGACCAACCUCCAUUGAGAAGGGGGGAGGGUGGGGUUGACUUGGCUAUAGAGCCAACUUGGUUGACAAAAAUACGUUUGCAUAUACUUUUGUACAAGUUUUUAUUUGCUAGGAACUGUUGCAAUGAGAGAAGACUAUAAUGACAAAGCUUAAGGCCAUUUUGGGAGAAUCUUGGGCUAUUUUCUCUUUCUGCUAGGGUAGCCACCAUGGCCAACCCUAGGGCGCCGCCACCUACACAACUAGGUGGUAGAAGAGCGACAGCAACGGUGACCAGAGGAAGAACUUUUGUCCAUAUAGUGGUAGGGAAGCCAACUCCUCUGGCUGACAUUGAAAUCCCGUGGAAAGAGACAAAGAUCAGUGCUGAAGGUCAAGUAUGGUAUCAAUUCACACAUGAAAAGAUCCAAAAAACGGUUGAGCCUCUGAAGUAUGCGAUGGUGAUAAAAUUCUUGAGGAAACGCCCCUCUGUUGAUGACAUUCGUGGCUACAUCAAAGCACGAUGGGGACUCUCGGAGAUGCUAGUAAUCGGGGCUAUGGGAAAUCCUCGACAGGUUCUGAUUCGCAUUAAUAACGAAGCAGAUUUUGUUACGACCUGUUCAAGGGAGAUAUGUGACAUCAAUGGUGUACCGUACAGAUUGUUCAAAUGGACAUCAGAUUUCAAAGAAGAUAAGGAACCCCUUUUUGCUCUGGUAUGGAUUUUCCUUCCUAGGCUGCCCCCCAAUUUUUUCAAUCAAUCAACCUUGCAAAUAUUGGUCGGGGGAAUUGGACUUUUUUUGAAGCGUGACAAUGCCACGAUAUGUGGUUCACUGCCCAUGGGGGCUAGAGUAUGUGUGGAGAUGGGCCUAACGAAACCACGACUGGACUCUUUCUGGAUUGGUCCUCUGGGGCAUGUUUCGAGCCAUCAUCAAGAAAUUGUGUAUAAAACUUUGCCAGCCUUCUAUCAUCACUGUCAUAUCCAGUAACAUUCCGAUGCAACGUGCAGGAAACUUAAAUCAAUCAGGCUGGAAAGAUGGCGGAAGACAGAACCAAAGGUGAAGAGAAUCUGAUAAAGAGAGACCGGAUGCGCCAGAAAUAUAGACCUAUCAAACGCACGAUAGAGGAGGCGGAACCAUCAAAGAACAAAUUAUCCUUGGAUCCAAUAUCUACAGAAAAUCAAGAUACAGAGGAAACGACUGGAGUCUUGGUGGAAAGAAAUAAGGACGGACCAGAGAAACAGACGCCUCCUUCUAUUGACACAAAAGUAGAGUCCGGUUUUCUGAAAGAAGAUGGAAAUUUGCUUCAGGCUUCUACUAAACAGAUUGUUGUUGAACAUCUUGAUGGAUGUCUAGCACUGGAGAAAAACAUAGGAAAUGAUCUUCUUUUCCAGGAGUUUGGUGACCACCGAGACCUAAUCCAACAGGAACUUUUUAUUCAACACAUGCAGGAGGCGAUUGAAGUAGAAGUGAAUAUUGCAGAGGAGUCAUCACAAAAAAUAAGUGGUCUCGUGCAGCCCCCAAGGACAGUGCAUUUGACUAAAAAUCAACCUGAUAUUUCAUCUGAAUCAUUGCAACAGAAAAAUGCUCUGUCACACGUCCAAAUGGCAAAGACCAGGAGGGCGAAGAUGGAAAUAUGAGAUAGGAAAAAACAACCAUACUUCAACGUUAGAAGAAGAAAAAAGUCGUAAUGCUGUCUGAGGUACUAACACGCUCUAAAACUUCGUCUAAAUAAUAGACAAACUGUUGAUAUGGAAUGUUCGGGGUUGGGAACAUCAAGGACUCGACUUAAUGAUAUGAUGUCUAAAUUUAAUCCACGUAUUGUAGCGAUGCAGAAAAGGUUGGUGGGACACAGAAACCAGAUCUCCCAAAGCAGGAAUUUAACGAUUGUAUAUCAAAUUGUGGCCUACAAGAACUCCAGACAAAAGGUACAAUUUUUACAUGGUGCAAUUUGCAAGAAGGAAGAGGUUGUAUGUGGGAAAAAUUGGAUAGAAUUUUAAUGAAUAAUUCUUUUUUAACUCACUUUGGAAUGGCUUGUGCUAAAGUUUUGUCUAGAUACAGCUCUGAUCAUUGCCCAUUGUUAGUUCAACUUUUGGCGCAACAAGAAUGUUAUGGACCACCACCUUUUUUUUAUUUUCAGCGGAUGUGGGUAGAUCAUGCAGACUUUCUACCCCUUGUCAAAAAAAAUGAGGAAAGCCAACUAAAAGCUCAAGUUUAUUCAAACUUGGCGAAAAAUUGAAGAGGCUAAAACCAGUUUUGAGAAAGUGGAACAAAUGCUGUUUUGGGAAUAUCAAAUGUCACGUAGUGGAACUCGAAGACAAAAUUGUUAGGCUUGAAGAUCAAGUCUUAAAUUUUGGAAAUGAGCAAGACGUAAAGGAAUUAAUUGCAACAAGACUUAAAUUGAAGGACUGCACUCGGUGGGAAGAAAUUUUCAUGGCAUAGAAAACCAAAGUGAAAUGGCUAGAAGAGGGGGGACGCCAAUACCAAGUUCUUUCAUGCAACAAUUGCCAAACGUUGGAAAAUAUCUUAGUAUCACAGCAGGACAUUAUAGGAUGGAUCCACACUUGACAACCCGCAAGCAGUUCACGAUGGAGCAGUAUAAUUCUUCCAUGAGCUACUUAUGACUAAUAAUGUCAUACCGAGGAUUGAAUUCAUUGAUUGCAUCGAGCAUAUCAUUGGAAGAUAAUAUCAUAUUGUGUUAGGCUCCAUCUCGUGAGGAAUUUAAAUAUGUAAUGGAAAGCAUUCCACAGGACAGUAGCCCUGGACCUAAUGGUUUCUCAUCGAGUUUUUAUAUGAGUUGUUGGGAUAUCGUUGGAAAAGAUGCUUGGGAGGCUACGGCUGAUUUCUUUAGUGGGUCUAUGCUACCCAAUUUUUACACAUCAACUUAUAUAGUCCUUAUCUUGGUAGCUUUGGAGACUUUAGACCCAUUAGCUUGUGUUUAGUGAUCUACAAAUGCUUUGCAAAGGUAAUUGUAAACAGAUUAAAACCUCUACUUCCUAAAUUGAUCUCAAAAGAGUAAGGGACCUUCAUCAGGGGCUGAAGUAUAUUCGAUAAUAUUGCCCUGGUACAAGAAUUACUUCAGAACUUUAACAGGAAGAUACGAGGGGAAAAUGUAAUGCUUAAAGUGGACAUGACGAAGGCAUAUGAUAGGGUUGAAUGGAGUUUCUUAAUGGCAGUCGUAAAUGCUUUCGAUUUCUGAACACGAUUUUGCCAAUUAAUACAAAAUUGUAUUGAUGCACCUUCAUUCUCGGUGAUGAUGCGUGGCACUUAUCAGGGGUUUUUUAAAUCUUCAAGGGGUUUUUUAAAUCUUCACGAGGAAUCCGUCAAGGAGAUACCCUCUUUUCAUACUUAUUUAUUAUUGCUGAGGAGACUCUUACAUGUAUGCUACAACAGGCAUGUUUGGAACAAUGCAUUGGAAAUUACUCUCUUCCUUUUGGGGCACCUUGUAUCUCUCAUCUGCUAUAUGCUGAUGAUCUAAUUAUUUUUUUAUAACGGCAGUAAAGUGUCCAUUAGAGUAGUGGUGGAGAUCCUAAGCAUUUAUGAAAAUAUGUUGGGGCAGAAUGUGAAUCACAGGAAAUCAGCAAUAUUUUUCUCGAAACACAUAUCCUUGUCGAGGAAAAAUGAAUCACUUCAUUUGACUAACUUCACACAAGGAUCUUUUCGAAUCACAUAUCUGGGUGCUCCAAUAUCUCCAGGUCGUUUAUGUAUCAGACAUUUCGAGGCGCUGAUUAUGAAGGUGAGAAAGAAAAUAUCUGGCUAGAAAUCUUUACUCUUAUCAUUUGGAGGAAUAUUAACUCUUGUAAAGCAUGUUCUUUCAAGUAUGCCUUUACAUAUCUUAUCGAUCAUCUGCAUACCUCAAGGGGUUAUUAACCAAAUUCAUUCUUUGAUCUCAAAAUUUAUUUAAGGAGAGGCAGAUGGUAAAGCUAAGCGACAUUGGGUGUGUUUUGGAAAAAUAACCAAACUGGUAUCGGAAGGAGGUCUAGGCAUUCGAGACUUAGCAGAAGUAAGAGUGGCUCUAAAAACAAGAUUUGCUUGGAAAAUUUGUUUCUCUGUUUCUCUACUACAACGUUUCCUAAAAGAAAAAAUAUUUUCCUCACAACUCAUACAAUGGGAUCCAGAUAUCACCCUUAAACUCACCUUUUUGGAAUAGCAUAGCAAGUUUGAUACCUAUGGUAAUUGAAAACUCGGUGUGGCAUAUAAAAAGCGGAGAUGUUAAUUUCUGGUAAGAUAAUUGGUCUGGUCUAGGACCGCUAUCAAACCUGGUAGAGAUAGUAGGGCCUGAGUUGAGGUUAAAUGUUGCGGUGAUCUCAGGGGGUGGAAUGAAGAUGUCUUAUUAGAUCUAAUAGGGAAUGAUUUAGCUAAAGUCGCAAUAGAAUACGUUCCAAAGUUACGUGAAGGAGUGGAUAAAGAUGUUUGGAAACCAUCUCCAGAUGGCAUGUUCAGCAUUGGGAGCACUUGAGAGCUUAUUCGAGCCAAACAGGAGUAUGUAGAUUCGAAUAAAUGGGUAUGGCAUCCAAUAAUUCCAAAAAAAAUCUCUUUCAUUACUUGGAAGGCUAUACAUAGGGCGCUCGUUGUGGAUGAAAGAAUACAAAUGGUGGGGAUCUCCUUAGCAUCAAAAUGUGUAUGUUGUGCUACACCUCAUUGUGAAUCUCUCAAUCAUUUGUUGGAUGGCAGUAGCCUGGCAAAAUUUCUCUAGAAUCAAAUAUCGAUGGUGAUAGGCAUCUCGCACAUACCAUCUUUGGGUUGGAGACAAAGAAUGAAUUUUUGGUUCUCUAAGGCAUCAAAAAUGUCCCAAGUAGGCAUGAUUAUUGGCUUUCUCCCUUGUUCUAAUUUUCUAGACGAUUUGGACAUGAGGUACCGAAAAAAGAUGAAAGGUGCAACUAUUAACUAUGAUCAGAUUUAGGCUUCAGUGAAGUGGUGGAUGGGUGAACUAUGUGCCAAUGCGGCUAAGGUAUUUAGGCUAUCCUUGUCUAAUUGUAUUGCAUUACGAGUUUUGGGGAUUCAGAUCAGAAAACCACAUAAUAAAAUCUCUAAGUUUGUUCAGUGGAUACCUCCCCUCCCUUCGUUAAAUUAAACAUUGAUGGAUGUUGCAUAGGAAAUCCUAGUAAUUGUGGUGGAGGCGAAGUGAGGCGAAGUGAUCAAGGAGAAAAAUGGAAAGUUUAUCUAUUCUUUCCGCACGUUUUAUGGUCACGGUACUAACACAUGGACGGAGCUAAAAGCUGUUUUGGAAGGUAUUCACAUAUGUGUAGAACGAAAUUUCCCAAAGAUUAUAAUUGAAAGUGAUUCUCAUGUCGUUGUGAACUGGUUCCUCAAUAAACAAUGUACAUAAUGGAAAUUUUGGAAACAAUGGGAGGAGAUAAGUGAUCUUAUGAUGGGAAGGGAAGUGGUGUUUAGACAUGUUUACCUGGAAGCAAACCAAGUUGCAGACGCAUUAUCUAAAAUAGGUGGAAGUGGAAAUACGGCUAUCUUCCAUGAUAUAGUAGAUCUUCCUGAGGCAGUUACUAACUUGAUCAUAUCAAAUAGAAAUCAUUUUUCAUAUGUACGAAUUUAUUAAUAGUUUAUCUUUAAAGUCUAUUUGUGAUGUGGAGUUGUAUUCAUUGUAUUCCUCGGCCAUAUGUGAGGGCUAAUCUAUAAAAUCUGGAGCUUUAAAAAAAAAAAAAACAAAGCUUCGCAUACACCAGUUCUCCCUUAUUAAAUAGGAUGUCACGAUGAUGGCGAUCAGCCACAACUUCCAUCUUUGCCUAUGCUUGUAACAGAUGUUCCUUUAAUUCCUUCAAAAUUAUAUCUCUAUCAAUUACCUAUUGUUCAACUAUUGCUCCUCCGAUGGAUUGAGUGCCAUAGUACAGCAAUGGAGAAGCAUCUUUUCCAUAGAUUGCUUGAGUGGGAUAGUUUUUGUCGAAGCGUGAAUAGUAGUAUUUUACAAUACUCACCCACGGUAACUAGGUAUACCUGUCACUUGGUUUCUCAUAUGAAAAGCACUCAAGUAUGUUUCCACAAGCAAUUAUGACCUCUUUCUGACCAUCUGUUUGUGGAUGAUAAGUCAUGUUUCUACGAAAUUGAGUUCUUUGUAGCCUGAAGAGUUCUAUCCAAAAAUGGUUGAGAAAAUUUUUGUCAUGAUCUAGUAUGAUUGAGCUUGGAAUUCAUGAAGUUUGACUACUUUUUAAACAAAGAUGGAUAUAACUACUGAGGCUGUGAAUGGGUACUUAGGAGGCAGAAAAUGAUAAUAUUUGGUCAACCAGUCUACUAAAAUCGAAUUAGAACUUUCAAAUUUUGCCAAUCCCUCGAUGACGUCCAUGGAGAUGUCCUCCCAAGUUUGUAGUAGAAUAGGUAUUAGUUGUAGAAGCUUGGCCAGAGAUAAUGUGAGACUUUUAUUUUGUUGACAUAUAGGACAUUCGACGACAAAAGUCUUUUUGUCUGAGAUCGUGCUACUGAAGAAAAGGCUUCGUGUCACUGAAAAGAGAAACUUUAAAUCAUGCAAGUGCAAAACCAGCACCUAGCGAGCACCUGCAACCGCACGUGCUAGAUCCGCCAGGAGAAAUUUUCUUGUUGGCAACAGAUUAAUGUUUUACCUUAUAUUACUAGUAAGUCAUUUUGUUCUCAAUCAUCCUUGUAACUCAGCUAGUUAGAGGUUACAUAUUCAUAUCUGACGUUUAAGGUUCAAAUCCCUUACUAAGGGAUUUUUGUGCAUUAUUCGUAUUCUACAAGUUUUACCAAAUUUUUUAUAAAGACGAAGACAAAGGGAUUCGAACCUGUAAACUCUUGUAGAGGUAGUUGCCAACUUAAACACUGUGGUACUUCUUGGUUUGCGUCACUUAGUUUACCAAACAAUAUUUAUUAAUUUUUAACUGGUUUAAGCCAAGUACAAUUGCAAAUAUUAGAAUCCGCGCUCUUCCUUUGAAUUAUACAAAACUUGGCAACAAUGUCAUUUGAUGAGUCCAGUUUAUUCUUAUAACUAAAUUAUAUAUGUUCAAUUCGAGCAAAACAAUUGUUAUAUUUAAACUUUAGGCCUUAUUCGAUUUCCAUUUUUUUCAAAAUACAUUUUUUCUUUCUUUUUUUAAUUCACAUUCUUCAAUAAAAUAAUAUUACACGCAAAUUCAAAAAUUUUCUUUAUUUUUAGUCACACUUUCUCCUUCAAAUCACUGUUCAAAAAUAUAUUUUUUACAAAAAAAAAAUGGUACCAAAUGGACUCUUAAAAUUUUAUUGCGAUCGGCAGUAGUUGGUUAAAGGUCACCCGUUCUGACUCAAACUUCUGGAUUCGUCCCUGAUCAUCCUAUUGAAGAGAAAGCUUUGUACCACUAAAAAGUGGGCUUAGAUGAUAAUGCAUAGUAGGAAUGGGAAUUUUACAUAGGUGUGGUAUGCGCACACUAAAAAUGAUACCAUAGCACUCUUAGCAAUAAUAAUAUCCUGUUGGGGUGUUCUUAUACAGUUAGUCCCCCAUGUUGCGAGGUACAUGAGGUCGCCUUAAUAAGAUGAGGUCUUAUGAGUUAGCCUUAUCGUUAUGAGGUCUUACGAACUCAUCUCAAUAUACGUGCCAACAUAAAAUACACGGUGAACAAAGUACAGCCAACAUAAUCUCAAUAUAGUCUCCCAUGUAUAGUUAGUUUGAAUAUACGCAGUAAACAAUGUACAGCUAACAUAAUCGGCAAUUGUUCCAUCGAAUGCAACCUAGCAGAUUAUUGGUACGCAGGCCUGAAAAUCAAUUGGUGAAAGUGUUCAAAACAAGCUAAACAAAUUUCUCUAAGGCGAUUACUUUCGACAGUUAUUUCGGGCAAUUUUCUUUGUGGGAAACAUCUGAAUUUUGGCCCUAAUGGCUGGGGAUGUCAGCCACAUGAAAUUUAUAUAUAAUAUUCAGACAUGAGACGCAAGGCAUUGAGUGCAUUGUUUUGAUCCUUGUAUGGUUUUGUGAGUUUCGUUUUAUUGCAAUAAUAAAAGUGGGAAGUGUUUCUUGCAUUUUUGUGUGUUCGUUCACAUAUUCUGUCCCUUUCAUAUGGUGUUACAAUUUUUUGUUAAACAAAGAAAUUUGAGCAUCAACGAAGGUUGAUUAAUGCCAUAUCGUGAAAAUUUUACUGCAGAAAAAUUGACCCUAUAACAGUUGGAUUGAUUCGAUAUUGGAUCAAAUCGAUCAUGUUAGUUUGGGUUUGGGUUGGAUAAAAAGCUGAUCCAACUGAUCUCACACUCAGCCCCAUUAAUACAGGGUGUAAUUUGUAAAAUUUCCAAAGAAAUUUAAACCAUCUAUAUCAAAAAGUCUAUAUUUUAGGAUGUUUUCAAGAUUCAAACCAUUCCAUUUUUGAACAUUUUCUUCCAAUUAUUUUAAAAACGUCAAUUCUGAAGGAUAAUUCUGAAGAUUUUAUUUUAUCAUCAUUGUUAACUUUUUCGUAGGAUCCUUUGUUGUUUUUCAAGAAACAUGGAUUCUACUUCCAUUCAUUUGUAGUUUAUUUGGCAGAAAAUAUAGCCAAUAGACUUCCCUACCACUUGAGAGAGAGAGAGGGAGAGAGAGCAAGAGUGAGAGGGAGAAAGACAUUUUAAAUGAUCGAGCAACAUCAAAAUACAUAUAUUCACUUUGAAAGAUCUUACUAACUGCUAUGCUUCAUUCCAAGGCCCUCAGUGAAGGCCACGUCAAAGUCACAUGGAGAUGCUACAUGCGAACAAUUGAUAGUCAACAAGAUCAAAAUAAAGAAAGAGAACAAGCUACUAUUUGGGCGAAGUACUAUCUUCGUCUGAAGCCAAUUGGACCAAACUUCUUCCUCUUAUGAACGAACCACAACACAUCUGAAGCUCUCUCUCAAAGCAAAACACCUGCUGCCUUUAAAGUGGGUCUAAAGGGUAUCUUUACAAAUAAUUCAUGUAACAUUUGUAAUAAUGAAUAUCAAAAAUAUCAGCAUAGGAUGUAGAGCAACUUAUCCCUUAUCAAUCGAUUGCAGAGAGUGAUGUAAGGUUUCGAUUGCUUGGAUAAGAUCACGUGGCUCUGAUCCAAUGGUGAUCACGUUGGUCCUAGCUCUGUAAAUAGUGGCUUUUGUAACAUGUAAAUGAUUAAAAGAAAUAUAUGUAAGAUAACACAUUUGAAUUCUCAAUAAAAUAUCUUUCUUGCUCAUUCCAUAUUUAUAUACCUAAGUUCAAAUCAUUUUAGCUUUCGGGAGAUGGUUUGUGAUUGUUUAUUUACAACUGUUCUCAAUCAUAUCAUCAAUGCUCGAACAUGUUCAUCUCUUAUUAUAGAGCAUUCCCCAGUCCGUUGACCUUUCGAUUGAUUAUUCUGAUCGAAACGUCUCGAAAUUUGCUCGCACAGACACGAGUGGGCCCAAUAUCUUUUGGCCAUGCUGUCAUUGUAAAAAAUGGGGUCAAUAGAUUGACACCGUUUGUGAAAGACCGUACAUAGAACCACAAAAAUUCGAUGGAGAAAGUUGGUAGAAAGGUAUUCUUGAAGAAAUAAUUGCCUAAAGGGACCCUCACUUUGGAAACAUUUAUACCCUUUGAAAAAGGAAAUAGUGAUCAGCAUUGAACAAAAUGAAAUACUAUCAUGAGUUCUAUCAAUGUGGAAUCUAUCCCUCGAAAAACUAGGGACACACUGAAGAAAGGAAAUCCUUGCGCACUGCUCCGACAUUUCGCCAUCGAUUUCACCAAUCACAUAGUUGAGGUAGAUCAAGGAGAGGGUCUAGGAUAUAUGCUAGAGUUAUUAGGAAAGUGGCCACCUUGUCCACAAACAUGGGGAAUAUAACACAACAAAAUAUGGCCAUGCAUGAACUGCUGAAGAGCAUUGGUUCAGAGAAGAUGCCCAAUCCCUUUGUACACAGCCUAAGGAAAUACAUUCCACGACUCCUCACAAGGAAAUUACUACCACGGUGAAGAGGAGAUCCAAAGCUAAAUUGCUAGUUACCAACAGUAUGCCAUGGUAAAAGUCCCUUAGGAAAGGGGAGUUGGGAUGAAUACAUCUACUAAUUAUGCCACCGACCCAUCUAAUGAGAUCCCAUUCAACUUUCUACCAAACUAUAAUUCAGAAGAUGUACCUCAAAGGUUCAUAAGCUUCCUAGAUAGGCUAAGCCUAGGCAACUUAGAAAUUGGUACGCUCAACCUUCCUCGUACCUAGAAAUGGGCAAUAGAUACCACAUAAGUUCGAAAGGCAAAACAAAGCCUUUAGACCCUACAUCUAGAAAUAAGCAUGAGUGGAGAGCAGAAUAGGCAAGGAAUCGAGCAAAACCAUCUCAAACAUCUUGGAAAAACUAAGUCAGAAAAGAUGAGGAUUCUGAUAAACUACCAAGGUCCUGCGAUCUUGAUGAUGAUGAAAAUCUAUCAUUUUCCUAAGGAAUUAGGAAUAUCCCCGUCCUCAACCACUUCACGUUUUCCGAAAUUCCUAAGUAUGAUGGAAGAGGCGAUCCUACAAAGAAACUCAGUAGCUUCAAAACUCAUAUGAGCCUAAGAGAAGCCAUCCCUGCAAUAAAAUGUAGAUCCUUCAACUUAAUCAAGUGGAGUGGCCGAAGUGUGGAACACCAAGCUUCUGGAGGAAAGCAUCCGAAGCUAGCUGUAUUUUAAAAAGGCUUCCUCAAAUGCUUUACCACAAGUAAAGAAGGUGAAAGGGCAAUACAAUGCUUGCAAAACAUGAGACAGAGGCAAAAGGAAUCUUUGAAGAGGUUCCUGUCCCGUUUCACUGAUUGAAUGACCAACUACGUGCAAGUGACAGAUAGAGAGGCACUAACAGCCCUAAGAGAAGGGCUGGACAUGAACUCUCUUUUGAAGAGAUGUGCAAACCAAAGACCCUACCAGUUAUAAUACCUUAUUGCAAUUGAUAAGGCGUGAAAUCAUCAAUGAAGAAUUGAGAGAUCAUCGUAAUAGGGCAAAUAGAGUGUUGCCACCUCAUCAAAUGCAACAUAAAAGGAUCUUACCUCCCAUCUGAUAGAUCCCCAGAUCGGAAAAUCAACCCUCCUCAAUCUAGUACAAGCAUUGGUUGCAACAACAUUAAGUUCAGUACUAACUUUGACUUACGAGAAAGUAAAACCUCAGGUGGAAACACAUUAAGGUAUACCCUACCAAUGAUUCUCCCAAGAGGGAGAGGUAGGAGACGAGGCAUUGAACCUGGAAAUAGGAUAAAGCAACCUUCUAAUGUACUUAUCAUUAUUUUCAUAGCCAUAGCAUUGCUAGUUAUAGUGACAUUGUAAUGUACCCCAUACUAGCAACCCAUGGAAAAAUAGAUGCUCACGAAUAGAUACUUCCCCAAGCAGGGUUAACAGCCUUGCAAUCAGAAGACAAGGCAGCCUAAUAGAGAUGACACCCUACGAAGGCCAAAAGGAAAUAGGAAAAGACGGGGAAGUCGAAGACAAAGAAGGAGCUACCUAGUUGACACUAGUUGUGAGCCCAUCAGAGAAAUCGACACGAUUGUUAGAGGCCCUUACGUUGGGAGAGAGUCCAAAAAACCCCCCAACAAAAUUAUGCCUGGGAAACUAAGGAAUCCGUAAUGCAAGCCUUAUAGUCAGCAACAUCAUAUCUUCCAUUGAAAGAAAAAUUCAGCCCAUCACUUUCACCGAGAUGACAUUGUUGGAGUGCAUUAUCCGCACUAUGAAGCCUUGAUAGUAAGAGCUAUUAUGACCUGAAAAAGGGUCUUAAAAGAAUGUUAGUACACAACAGAAGAUCAGUUAACAUUAUAUUCGGUGCCACAUUAGAUAAAAUGGAAGUUGAUCACAAGUUAACUCCAAUAAAUUUUCCCUUGUAUAGGUUCACGAGUGAUAGCAUUGUCCCAAGAGAGAAAAUCAGUCUAACAAUAGAGAUAGGGAUGACGCCGUUCAUGGCUCACCACUUCAUGGAAUUUUUGGUAGUAGACAAUCGUUUUGCUUACCAUGGAGUACUUGGGAGGUCUGCUCUAAAGAAACUAUGUAUUGUCAUAUCUAUCCACCAUCUAUGCAUAAGGUUUCCAAUAGAGAACGACAUCACCAUAGUCAAAGAUGAUUAAAGAAGUGCUAGGAAGUGCUACUCUAACUCUCUCAAAAAAGCUGAACUUUGGGACAUCAAUGUCAUUCUGAUGGACAUUGAUGAAAAUGAAGACCCCAAAUAAGGGGAUGACGUCGAAAUGAUAGAUGUCUAUGAAGAAUAUACUAUUUUCAAAGUAUAGUCAACCCUUGAAGAAGGGAGAGCCACUGAAGAAGUGACUUGUCUUAAUGAACUGGAUCCCCAUAUAAUUGAUUGCGAGCCACAGACAGCUCCGAUCGAACCAUUGGAGAGCUUCAUAGUGGAUCCUUGCAGGUUAAGAAAAACUUGCCAACAAUAGCAAAGAAAAAGUUGAAGUGCUUUUGCGUGAAAAUUUAGACGUCUUUUCAUAGAAUAAUUAAGACAUAGUUGGCAUUGAUCCAAAGGCGAGUUUCCACCAUUUGAAGAUUUUUUGAAAUGCUAACCCUCAUCGGCAUAAAAGGAGGGCCCUUAAUCUAGAAAGAUAUAAAGCCACAAAAGAUAAGGUAAAGAAGUUGAUUGAUAAUUGCUUUAUUCAAGAAUUAAAUUACCUGAAGUGGUUCUCAAACCCUAUCCUAGUAAAGAAGCUCAGUGGAAAAUGGAUGGUGUGCGUGGUUUUCUUCAAUCUUAAUCAAGCUUGCCCCACAGAUAGCUUCCAACUUCCACAAAUUGACCAACUAUUUGAUUUCACUGUGGGACACAAACUGCUGAGCUUCAUGGACGCCUACUUAUGUUAUAACUAGUUGGUCAAUCCAGUGGACGAAGAGUAUACAUCUUUCAUAACUGACAGAGGUCACUAUUGCUAUAACAUAAUGCCCUUUGGGUUGAAAAAUGCAACGGCCACGUACCAACGAUUGGUCAAUAAAAUAUUUUGCAAACUUCAUCGAAAAUGCUAUGGAAGUGUAUGUGGAUGACAUGCUACUAAAAAGCUUAAGAAUAGAUGACCAAGUCCAACACUUCGGUGAAGCCUUCCAAAUACUCCGAAGAUAUACAAUGAAGCUAAAUCCUCUUAAGUGUGCUUUCGAGGUAGCCUCGGGAAAGUUUCUAGGCUACAUACUAAAUCAAAAAGGCAUUGAGGCCAACCUGAAAAAGAUCAAAGCUUGAUCGGAAUAAGGCCUCCCUAGAAACCUAAGGAAGUACAGAGCUUAAUUGGACACAUAGUAGCUUUAAGUCAUUUCGUGUCAAAUGUAACGGACAAAUGAUUUUCUUUCUUUAAAGUUUUGAAGAGAAUUGAUUUCAAUGGAAGGAAGAAUGCGAAGUAGCCUUACAAGCUAAAGAAUCACUUGGAAUAGGCUACUAUCCAAUCAAAACCCAAAGAUCAGCAACAUCUGUAGCUAUAUUUGAUAGUAAUUAUCGACGCUAUCAGUUCAAUGCUUCGUAAGGAAGAAGAGAGUCACCAAUUACCUAUGUAUUAUGUGAGUAAAGCAUUCCUUGCAGUAAAAACCUACUAUCUGAACAUGGAGAAGUUGGCUCUUUCUCUCGUAACGACCUUUCAAAAAUUAAGGCGAUACUUUCGAGCACAUACUGUACAAGUGCUAACCAAUUUCUCACUCAAGCAAGUGCUGUAGAAGCUCGAUGCUUUAGGAAUAUUACUGAAAUGGGUUUGUGGAGCUCAAUGCAUUUGAUAUAUUGUCCUAAAUUAAUAAAUGUUAUUAAAGGAUGAGCCUUAGUAGAUUUCGUGGCAGAAUUCAUCAAUGUUCCAGAAAUGGAAAAAGAGAUGGAACCUGUCGAACCUCCUACAUGGAACUUUUUGUUGAUAGUUCCUUGGAUGACACAGUUUCUGAGUGGGAGUGGUCCUAGUUAGUCCAGAAGGACAUAAGCUCACCUACGCUAUGAGGUUCUAUUUCAAGGCCACCAACAACGUAGCAAGAUAUAUAAAGCCCUUUUAGCAUACCUUAGAUUAGUCAAAGAGAUGCAAGUAAAAAAGCUAUCAUCUACAGUGAUUCCCAAUUGGUGGUUAGCCAUGUUAAUAGCAUUUUUUAGCCAAAGAUAAAAGCAUGGCCGCCUACCUUAAAUUGGUUAUGGAGUUCAUUCCAACCUUUGAAAAUUUUGAGUUGGUAGAGAUUCCACAAUCAUAAAAUUCUUACACUAAUGCUCUUUCAAAAUUAGCAACCAUUAAAGACUCUAAACUACUCACUACUAUGUCUAAAAAGCACCUUCCUAGGUUUUCUACCUCUAAAGGUGAAGAUGUGAUAUAGGUCGAAGAUAAUCCUCUAUGGAUGAAGCCGAUUAUAGCGUUCUUAAAAAACCAAGCUCUGCCCUCUUACAAAGUGGAAGCGUAGAAGCUCAAAAGAUGAGCCGCCACUUUAUUUUUCAAGACGAUCUGGUAUACGAAUGAUGCUUCUCUUCGUCCUUACUCCGGUGUAUAGGUGGAGAUAAAGCCACCUAUGUGCUCUAAGAAAUUCACGAAUGGAUAUGUGGUAACUACACGAGAAGAUAGUCUUUAGCACAAAAAGUGCUAAGGCAGGGAUAUUAUUGGCCUACUUUGAAAAAGAUGUAAAGCAGUUUGCAAAAAAAUUGCAAUAAAUGUCAACGCUUUGCAACAAUUCAGAGGCAAGCUUCUCAAGAGCUAAAUGUUGUUUCUACCCCAUGGUCAUUUUCCAAGGGAGAAGACCCCUAUUUAAAGGAAGAGGUAGUACCAACUUCUCAAUUGUCGCUAUAGAUUAUUUCACAAAAUGGAUGGAAUCCGAACUCAUGGCCAAAAUUAUUGAAGCUAAUACUUUCAAGUUUUAUGGAAAAAUAUCAUAUGUUGGUUUGAAAUUUCCAAUUCAAUUGUCUCAAAUAAUGGACGACAAUUUGACAACAAGAAGGUCAAAAAUUAUGUGAAGAAUAAGGGAUCAAGAAACAUUUCCCUUUCCCGCCUCAUCCUUAGGCAAAUAGGCAGGUGCAAACAGUCAAUGAGACCAUCAAAUGCACACACUAGAGAAAAUUAGAUGUUUCUAAGAGCUUGGUUUGACAAACUAUCUCAAGUUUUAUGGGCCAUCAAAGCUACUAGUAGAACAGUAAUAGGAGAGACUCAUUUCUCUAUUCCCUAUGGAGCGAGGCUAUGAGUCUAGUCGAAAUGGGUCUAUCGUCUUCUUGCCUCGUACAUUUUAACGAAAUAUCUAACGACGAGUUAAGAAGUUUUGAACUAGACUUCCUUAAAGAAAUGAGAAAUGGAACCCAAGGAAAAUUGGCUAUCUACCAGCGAAAUAUCACUAGAAGUGGGAACACUAGGUCCUAAUUGAUGAUCCCUAUCCUAUCAAUGAAGAGAUUCGACUAAGGGCCUACAAAAUUGAAGGUAUGGAUGAAAAGGCACAGCAUCAUCCAUGGAAUGGGAAUAUAGAUUCUUUUGCAUCUUGAUUCAAAAUACAUCCAUCGUUGUACGUAUAGAAAUUCAAAAAAGAAUUGAUUUGAUCCAGGUCGGAGCAUCUAUAAAAGUACUCCUCAACUUUGUUUUUCCCUUAUCCUUAGAUGGAGGGUGCCCAUCUCCUUCAUGACCAACAACCUCUUUGUUGAUCCUCUCCACUUUGUCCCUCACCUGUUUGGAAGCAACAGAUGGAGGUGGUGGCCAGGAUGGUAGUUAUAUUAGGGAUUGGAUGCUCCAUUUUCUCAAAAUUCUCUACAAAAGAAAAAGGAAUGUUAAAGAUUUUAACAAUAUGGCAAACUCUAUUUAGAAUCAGAUUUACCUCUUCCAGCAACAAAACAAAAUUCCUCAAUGAAUGACUUAGAGUGGAUUAAAUGGUCGAACUCCCUCGCAUGGAGGUGAUAGAAGUAGAAGUUCUCUGUGUGCCCUACUCAGCUUCUGAUAACUCAAAGCGAUCAAUCGACUUGUAAAAAUGGUAGAGGGUCAAAAUCAUGGUCAAAGUUAGUUAAAUCAAAUUAAAAAUCCAUCAAAGUAUUACACUCACUAGAUUCUGAGUACGAGGUAAAAACUGCCACUUGGGAAAUAGUAUGACCCUUAUAUACCUACCACUCCCCCUACGCAGAACCAUGUCUCCUUCUACCCUUUGAUGGAGAAGGAAAGUUUAUGUAAACCCAAUUAGCAUGGCCACUAACAAACUCACAGCUAGAUUGACACAGAUCCCAAUAAAGCCAAGAAUCGUCAAUUUUGGAUUUAAUUCACAAACGAUGAAUUAAGCAACCGUUAAUAUGUGAAAUUAACGAUCUCUUAAUUACACAAUUUUUAAAUCUCACCCGGAUUUGUUUUGAACGCCACAAGAUUAACAAAUCUUUAUAAGUUUUAUUUGUUCAUCGAAGAACAAGAAAUCAGAAGCAAAACAGCCCCUGUAUUAAUCUCUCAAAUGUCAAAAGUUCCAAUACAAUGAAAAUAAAGUCCUAUUUAUAUGAAAACCCUAGGAUCUAAUUAAAAAUUAAAAAAAUGUUCAAAUAAUCCUAAAAAUAAUAAAAGAUUAGAAUUCUACUCAAAAUAGGAAACUCACAAAAAAUUGCAACUUUGGUCCCUGAAGUAUACUAUGCGGUCGCAUAGAUCAAGGUGUAGCUGCCCUUUAAUUCGAUGUCGCCUUGUAUGCGAUCGCAUGGAUGGAACCACUAUGCGGUCGCAUAUUGGCUAGUCUUGGCUCCAAAUUUUCCCUCGUGAAUCAAGUGCCUCCUGUUUCAUUCUGGCCUUCGUCUCCAACACCAAUCUUGCUCCUUGGCAUGUCAUCUUCAACCCUGUGAACUCCAUAGCUCGGCCAUGCAAUUGUAUGACUUGUAUUACCCAUCCGAGGUUUCAAACACAGCUUUGGCUUCUUUCAAUCAAUCACCAAUUCUUGACAAUCGACGGCGCAAAUCGGAUCAUAUCAUCCCCUCCCUCUUUGAAAGGAUUCGUCCUCGAAUUCUAAACUUCAAGCUUUGCAAUGCCAUGGAAUGUUUUAUUCUUCUUCCAUUUGAUAUCUUGGAACAAGUUCGACUUUAUGUUCAGCUUUCCAUCUAAAAGAACAUCAACCCGCUCUUGUUCAAGAAUCUGACACUCCACAUUGCUAUGGUUGACUGACUCUUCUUCGAUGCUCCAUAAAUGCUCCAACUUCAAUGUAUCAACCGGAUAUUCAAAUGGCAAUACUCCUUUUAGAAAGUUCUCGUGCAAUAAAUUUUCACACUCCUGCAUCAAAGAUAAAUUCAAACUGGGGAAGGAUUUGUUAGUCAUCACUAACUCACUCUUAAGCUCACUAUUUUCUGCAAAGAAGCUUGCCUUACAUUUUUCUUCCUGCUCGAAAGACUCCUUCUUUUCUUUGAAGUGGCUCUACUCGAUUUUUCUCACACUUAGCCACUUCGCCAUUUUCUCUCGAGCUUUCUUUUUGUCUUUUCUUUCUUUUCUCUCGUUCUCAUCUCUCAUUUUUAUUUGGUCCUGAUAGAGCUGCUGUGGUGUCAAUAGUACAAGCGUGAUAGUUUUUCCAUCCUUUUCAAAACUAUACCUAUUUUAAAACCCGUCAUGCUUUACCCUACGAUCAUAUUGCCUUGGCCUACCCAAUAAAAUAUGACACUCAUGCAUUGGCACAACAUCACACUAUUUAUCCUUAUAUUACCCGAUUGAAAAAUUCACUAAUACCGGUUUAUUCACCUUUGCCUCUCCAUUAUCAUCCAACCAUUGUAGUUUAUAAAGUUUAAGGCGUUUUAUUGUUUUCAACCCUAACUUAUAAACUAACAUGUUACUAGCAAUAUUGAUGAAACAACCUUCAUCAAUAAUUAAACCACAUACCUUAUUCUCCACGAGGCAUCUUGUGUGAAUGAUGUUUUCUUGUUGCUUCUCCUCUUCAUCCACCUUGAUUUGUAUGUUGAGUGCACGCAUCAGCACAAGUGCUUCACCGUCCACGGCAUGCACCAACACUUCACCACCACUAACAUCAUCUAGCUUAGGCGUCCCAUCUUCAUCACUGUCACUCACUACUUCUCCAUUAGCACUCAAGAUCAUUGCUAUCUUAUUUGGAUAUUGAGAUGCAAUGUGCCUCUUUCCCAAGCAUUUGAGACAUUUACUGUCCCGGCUCCUAGUAGUUGGUGACUCUGCCUUUGGUAAAUACUUGCUAGCAUUUUCUUCCUUCCCCCUUGGCGCUUCAGCUUUAUUGUUUGUAGCACCCCCAUCAUUCCUCUCAUCAUCCCAUUUCAACUUCCAAGACGAAUUGGGCCCCACUGAAUUCCUAGCUGUCACAUUUUGCGUCAACUGCCUUUUCAACUUCAUGGCCACAUGCAACAUAUCCUCUAACACCACAAAGUGCUACAACUCUACCACACUAGCAAUAUCCCUGUUUAACCCAUUUAGAAAACGAGCCAUAGUGGCUUCCCGAUCCUCCUCCACAUUUGCCCUAAUCAUCAGAAUUUCCAUCUCUUUGUGGUAGUUCUCCACACUCCUAGAACCUUAAUAUAAACACUGCAACCUUUGAUGGAGUUUCCUAUAGUAAUGACUAAGUACAAAUCAUUUUCUCAUUACCGCCUUCAACUCAUCCCUUGUGUUGGUAGGCCUCUCCCGAUUCCUACGCCUCGACGUCACCGCCUGAUCCCACCAAGUGAUUGCUUAAUCAGCAAACUCAAGGACUACUAAUCUCACAUUCUUCUCCUCAGAGUAAUUGUGACACUCAAAGAUAAGCUCCACAUUUUUCUCCCAUUCCAGGUACGCCUCCGGGUGACUCCUAGCCUUGAAUUGCAAAAUGGACAUUUUGAUGUUGCCCAUACCUCCAUCCACGUUAUCUCCAUAGUUAUUUCUAUCCCGACGUUCAAACCUAUCACUUCUAGUCCUUAUUCUCCCCAAUUCAACUCCAUUAAACUCAUCCUCAUCUAGCUCACUACCAUAUCCAUAUUCAUCUUGCAUCUCUACCCUAGGCUCCCAUCUGCCGCGUCCCCAAUGAAGAUUGGUGACAUAUGUGUCAAGCCUAUCUAUCCUAUCCCGCAUAUUCUUUAACAUUAUUUCAAACUGCAUCAUCCUAUCGUCAAGCAUAUUUUUUCGACCACCAAUCCUACUUGAGUUCAAUCCUUCACUGGCACACAUCCUGAAUUCUAAAUUUUUAUUUCUACCUCACCCAUAUUUCUCUAGGGAAUCACACAAUUUUCAAAUUUUAUCCUCAAUUGAUCUCACCACUCAACCUUUUUCCACUCAUUGCUUCCAAUUAAUGUUUCAAAGAACAAUUCAAACUCAAUUUCUUGUGAAAAUUCAAUUGGAUUGUUUGUGAGACUCGUGAAUUUUAAAAUAACUCAAGGAAUUGGAUAGAAAUUUGAAAGGAAUUAUGGAAAUUCAAGAAAUUGGUUCUUCAAUUUUGACGAACUAGACAAAACAAUGUGAAAUUGGAAGGACUAUAAAGGUAAUUCAAACAAUAACAAUAAGUUUUCCCAUUUUUUUCCACAGUUUUCGAUUUUUUUUACUUCUGAAUAGUACCAUGAAUAGUAAAAAGAAAUUUUGACUCACUAAAUAGAAAAUUUGACUACAACACUAACGGAACAAAUGGAAGUGGAUUUGGAUGCCAGAUUUGUCCAAAACACAAGAUUUGAAUUUUUUUUAAAAAUUUUAUGGAUCUAAGACACAACAAACGAAGAAAAUACGCAGAAGACAAAAGGAAUUUAGGAAAAUAAAAUCAAAAGACUUAACAAGAAAAGAAAAGGAUAUAACCUUCGAUUUUGGUGCCUAAGUGCUAAUACCAACUGAUGUGAACCCGGUUAGCACACCCACUAACGAACCUAUAACUAAUUGACAUGAAUCUCGAGAAAGCUAAGAAUCGUCGAUUUUGGAUUGAAUUCAAUAUGUGAAAUUAAUGACCUCUUAAUUACAAAAUUUAUAAAUUUCAUCCAAAUUUGUUUUGAACGCCACAAAGAUCAACAAAUCUUGAUAAGUUCGAUUUGUUCUUCAAAGAACAAAAAUUGGAAGCAAAACAAUCCCUUGUAUUAAUCCCUCAAAUGUCAAAAGUUCCAAUACAAUGAAAAUAAAGUCCUAUUUAUAUGAAAACCGAAGGAUCUAAUUAAAAGGUAAAAAUACGUUCAAGUAAUCCUAAAAAUAAUAAAAGAUUAGAAUUCUACCCAAAAUAGGAAACUUUUGGAAAACUGCAACUUUGGUCCCCGAAGUAUACUAUGCAGUCGCAUAGAUCAAAGUGUAGCUGCCCUUUAACUCCUUGCCACCCUGUAUGCGACUGCAUGGAUGGAAGCACUAUGCGAUCGCAUAGUGGCCAGUCUUGGCUCCAAAUUUGGCCUCUUGAAGCAAGCAUCUCCCCUCCAUUUCGGCCUUCGUCUCCAACACCAAUCUUGCUCCUUGGCAUGUCAUCUUCAACCUCGUGAACUCCAUAGCUCAACCAUGCAAUGUGUGAAUUGUAUUGCCCAUUUGAGGUCUUGAACACAGCUUUGGAUUCUUCCAAUCAAUCACCAAGUUCUUGAUAAUCAGCGGUGCAACCCAGAUCAUAUCAGAAGUCCUACAAUGAAAUGGGAGUAUGAUCCCCAUGGACAAAGGGAAUACCAUUUCCAAGAAUCCCCUUUCCCCAAAGACCUGGGUUGGAAGAUCGUUUGGAAAAUGUCGCAUGUCGUCACCAAGGGAGGUCUCUUUUCACAAGAAGUAGGUCCCACUAACUCUGUCCAAGCAUUGGGGAGAACUAGGUAGGGUUAAUCCGUACAAUCUCAAAAUGAAGCCCUACCUUUACGAAAAUCUCGCUGAUGAUGAUGCAAUCUUGCCUGGAAAGCAAGCUCAUUCAUCAGGAGAGGGGGCUAGGAGUUCAAUAUCGUAAAGGAUGUAAUAUUUUUUUCUUAAGUUGACCAGGUUGAACGAAAUUAAAAUGGAUGGGAUUUUGGCAGCUCCCAACCACCUAAUCACCUACCCUACCCCCUUUAAGGUAAGAUACUUUGCGUGGCCCUAAUAGCUUUGGAUAACGUCGAUUGCAUUUCUUAAGGUAGCCCCUAUCGCAGAGGCCAGCUGACUUAUGUCAUAAUCCCUCCUAGGAAGUGAAGUUGCCAUUAUAUCAAUAAGCGCAAUAGUCUCGAAUACUUAUGAGUUUAGACAAAAAGAUACCUAACGGGAAUGAUCAGAAAUUGCAAAAGAAGAGUUGAAAGAGAUUGAGGAAAACAGGAAGGAUAGGGAGGAAAUUCUGGAGAAAAUCUGAAUUCUGUGAUUUACAAAGAUAAAAGUGAUUUUUGCCCUAGGUUAUUGCCAAUUAUAGGCAGAAGCACUUAAUCCCAACUGUUGGAUGUUGAUCUGAAUCAUUUAAUCGUUCAUUUGAAAUUUAAUCUGAACCAUCCAGUAUGUCUACUAUUUUGCCUUCUAUAGCCCAGAUUAGAGCUUCUACACAAUGCACUCCAAUGCGUCUAAAUAACGAAAGACACGCCCACAACAACCAUCAUUACUCAUUAAAUACAAUGACAGUUGCGUGAGAAAGAAGUUGAACCGCUGCAACCUUCUUUUUUGGGAAAGUAUAGGGGACAACAAAUCAUUUCAGCACGAUAAUUAAGGACACCUCGCACUCGUAAAAGUUGAACUGGCAUACCUCUUCAGUAUUAUUGCUACAACUCCGUUCAAAGUAACUAAGCUUACCACUUUGGCUUCAACAUAUAUAACUUUGGCAUGACUUCAAUUAUGUAGGCCUAGCUUGAGCCUCCAUUAAAUUGGAAAAAUAUAUUUUGAAAUAGUAGAUUGAUGAAAUGUGUUAUUAAAAAUAACAAUAAGUUUUGGAUUUACGCGUAAUAUUAUUUUAUUGAAUAAUGUGUAGUCAAAAAGAAAAAAGGAAAAAAUGUAUUUUGAAAAAGAUGGGCAUGAAACAAGGUCGUAAUAGCAAGCAACAUUGGUCAAAUGAACCUAGGCUCUGCUUCAACUUAAGAGCAAAAGAAAGACACCAAGUACAACUUUAGCGAAUAACCAAGAUAAGUACUUCGAACGAUUCAUCAUAAGUUAUAUUUUAAAAUUUUGAUUUUUAUAUAAAUAUCUGCAAUUGGAUUUGGGGGACUAUUAUUGUAGGUCAAAAAUAACCACCCCCACAAAAAGUUUCGUUCUAAUACAAUACAAAAGUCAAUGUAUUGAUCAUACAUAGACUUGGGGGACUAUUGUUACGCCUCAGUUUGAGGCCCUCAGUGGAGGCUACAUAAAAGUCACCUAGAGGCACUACAUGUGAUCAAUAACAAUCAACAAGAUCAAAAAUAAAGAAAGGAAACAAGCUGCUUUUUGGCUGAAGUACUAUCUUCAUCUGAAGCCUCUUGGGCUGAAGCACUUCCUUUUCUAACCGAGCCACAACACAUCCGAAACUCUAUCUCAAAUCUAAAGCACCUGCCGCCUUUAAAGUGAGUCUAAAGAGUAUCUUAGAAAUGAUUAAUAUAACAUUUGUGUUAAUGUAUGUCAGAAAUGUCAGCAUAGAAUGUAGGGUGGCUGAUCCCAUGUCAAUAUAAUUUAUGUAUUACAAAGAGUGAUGUGAGGUUCUGGUUAUUGGGAUGAGGCCACAUGGCUCUGAUCCAACGAUGACCACGUUGGCCCCAGCUAUAUAAAUGGCAGCUUUUGUAUUCUUUAAAGGAUUGAAAAACAUAUAUGUAAGAUAACACACUUGAACUCUCAGUAAAAUCUCUUUGCAGAAAGGGGGUCAACACUAACUAAUUUGAUUAACUACAAAUAAAACAUCAUAUCAGAUAGUCAUAGUCAUACACACCAAAAUUACAAAAAUUAAAGUAAGAAUUCACUUUCUAGUCCUCACCAAUUAAGUAAAAAUAUAUCAAUUCGAUAUUCAAGGAUAAGGAAAGAAUUAAAAAAAUCAUGUUCUGAAAAAACCAUUUUUCAAAAUAAUAGUUUUCUGUUUUGAGAAACCAUUUUUCAAAAUAACAAACCAAACACGUUUUCUGUAAUUUGAAAAUAGUCCCUCAAAAUAGAAAAGGUUUUCUAUUUCAAAAAUGAAAAUAGAAAACGGAAACGCAAACCAAACGCACCCUUAUAUUCUUUAAAUUUUAUGCUGUGAUCAAAGUUGUAAAUUGUAAUUAAGAGAUUUAUUUAUUGACUGUAAUCUAAUACUUAAUUACGAAGUUUACAAGAAUAAAAGUAAAAGGAAAAGAGGAUAAAUACUAAAAUAGAAAGUCUUGGAUUUUGAUUGUUGGGUCUGGGUAUUUUGUGGUGGCCGGGAUGGAUUUUACUUUGAGAUUCCUUUUUCUUAAUAAAAUUAUGGAUUGUGCUACAUGUACAUAACAAUUUACAUAAUGAUUUACCAACAAAUGAUGUGGCAGAAUUUAAUUGGAUCAAAAUAUCAUGAAUCAAAUAAUUUUCCCACUUACAUUUUGACACAUCAUCAUUAUGUAAAAUAUUAUGUAAAUUGUUAUGUACAAGAAGCAUUUUCCUAAAAUUAUUCACUAUUAUAAGGGGAAAAAUAAUAUUAUAAAUUUCAAAAUUCUGGGGCACUGCAUAAUCAUGGGCCGUAGUUGACCGUCUAGUUGGCUUCAUGGUUCUAUCGGCUCUGUUUUUGGGAGGCUUCUAGGUAAAAUAUAUACUAUUUCUUGCAAAAAUUGUUUAAGAUCAAGUUUGCAAAGAGACUCCUUUCUAUUUCUAAUAUUUAGUAAAUUGGGAUGAAUCAAGUUAUUUGUGGGUUUAAAUUUUAAAAUUCAGAUUUAUGGAUAUCUUCAUAUUAUUUGGCAAACAAUUGUGUAACACGUCAAUCUAAGGUGGAGCCACAUUGGCUAUCAACCCUAAAUAUUUCGACAAUGACCGUUGAAUUAAUACUGUAAUGUGAUCAUUUGAGAGUGUCACAUGGAAAAUAAAACUAAGGAUUUAAUGCAUAUUUGAAAAAAUGUAUUUUAGUGAUUUUACCUUGUUCCCAAUAUUCGACUUGAUCGAGGAUAAUACGUAAGAAUAAUUAGUCAAGAAUAUAAUUAUUGUUUGCAUAGUUUUAGUAAAUUUCAAUUAGAAUAAAAGUACAAUAUCAUUUUUCAGUGAAAUAGAAUGUGACUAAUAAAUUAUCUGGAUUAAUUAAGAGUUAAUUAUGUCAAAAUUAAUUUGUUGAAAUUUAGUUUAAUUGGGUCCGUUUCGUCCAUUCGAUGACUUCAAAAUAAGAAUUGCAAAAAAUGAUAAGAGAUAUAAUUUAUUAUUCAGUUAGUUUAAUUAUUAAUUAAUUAAAUCGGAAUGGGUUAUGCACGUGUCAUUAUUUUUUUUUAUUUGAAUUAGAAUUAAAAGGAAAGUCCAUUUAGAUUAGUAUCCUUCUCCAAAUAAAUAAAUAACAAAAAAAGAGUUGUUUAGAAAUUAGGAUAUUUCGUUAAUCCAAAAUCAAUUCCAUUCCAUAUUAUAAAUAAUCAAAAGAAAAGAGUUCUUUUGGGAGUAGGAUAUUUCCUUAUUCGAAAAUUAUAAAAGUUAUAAUUUAUUAUUAACGGUAGAAUGAUUAAGGUCCUGUUUGGUACACAUUAAUAUAAAAAUAAGAAUAAAAAAUAUAGUCGUUACAGGCCUCACAGAAGAGAUAGAAAGUCAGAUAUGGUGGCUUAAUGUGAUGGAUAGCAAUCAUAUUUUUCAUUUUAAUGAGCAAAUAAUGAGAAACAAACGGGGGCUAAAUCAGAAUGUUUGUCCUUAAUUUUUUUUUUUUUUUAAUUAGAAUUAAAAGGAAAGUCCUUUUAGAUUAGUAUCUCCUUUUAGAUUAGUAUCAUUCUCCAAAUGAAUAAAUGAAAUAAAAAGAGUCGUUUCGGAAUUAGGAUGAUUGAAUUUCUGGAAAAUAAUCGAAGAAAAGAGUUCUUGUGCGAGUAGGAAGUUUCCUUAUCCAAAAUCAAUAAUCAAUUCUAAUUUUUUUAAUACAACACAAAACCUCUAAUCAAAUUAUUUUUUCUCCCCAAGUUUAUGCAUCUGUCAACUUUUCUCAAAAUUUCUCUCUAGUUUCAGCUUUCAAAUGUGUACGGAACGAAAGAUUUGAGAAGUAUUGUCCACCCCAUCAACAUCAACAUCAAAGAUUCAGCAAAAAAUAUUUUCUACCAUUACAGAAAAACACGAUCAACAUCAGGUGGUGAUUUCGAUCUUGUCCUCGUUAAUUUCCUCAAGAAUGACCAAACGUUCAGAUAUAUAACGCUUUGGGACAUUGUGUUUCUUGUGCAUCUGAGCAACGAUAUUGUCCUGUCUAUAUUUCUACUAGAAUGGGAGAAAGAAAAGUGCUAAACAAGUAUUAUCCACCGGACUUCGAUCCGGCAAAGAUUCCACGGCGGCAGCAGCCAAAGAAUAAACAAUUCACUAUCCGCAAUAUGCUUCCCAUGAGCAUUCGUUGUACAACUUGUGGGAACUACAUGUAUAAGGGUACAAAGUUUAAUAUGCGCAAAGAAGAAGCUAUCAGGGAGACUUAUUUGGGAAUUCGAAUUUUUAGGUUCUAUACCAAAUGCAACAAAUGCUCAGCGGAAAUAACAUUCAAGACUGAUCCACAGAAUUCGGAUUAUGCUCUUGAAUGCGGUGCCACGAGAAAUUUCGAGCCUUGGCGUGCAGAGGAUGAAGAGAAAAGGAAAAGGAAUAUAGAUGAUAUGGGAGAUGCGAUGAAAUCAUUGGAGAAUAGGUGUUUGGACUCGAAGAGGGAACUGGAUAUCCUGGUUGCUUUGGAUGAUAUCAUGUGUAUAAAUUCGAGACACGAAAGGGUGAGUGUAGAUUCAACGCUCGAAGCUUUGCAACAGAAAAAUGAGGCGAAUGAAAGGGAAUUGGAAGAAGAGGAUGAGGCUCUUAUAGAAUCCGUGUUUAAGGGGGCACGACAGCAUAUUUUACGAAGGAUUGAUGAUGAAGAAGAUUUAACUGUGUUUUCACCUGAGAAGAGAAGAAAGCUAUCUACCGACCUUCCAAACCCAGCAGAUUCUUUACCGAAAGGCAGUGUUCGUGACAGCUUCAAGAGUCGAAAUAAUGGUAAAUUCAUUCUGAAAUCUUCAUCGGUCACAGUUUCUAUUCUUAAGAAACCACUUCCCGAUUCCAAUAGUAACAAGGCAGGAAAGAAGGAGCCGAAGAAUCAGGAGGCAGGAUCCAUUGCAAGUAGUGGGUUACAAUCAUUAUGCCAGCAAUAUGGAAGUAAUGAAGACGAUUGAUGGCAAAGAACCAUCCCACUUGUUUCAGAUGGGCAGCGUAAUUGUAUUUGUUGUAUUUAGUUUGGUGUGAAGCAAGUUUGAUAUUUAGAUCUUGAGUUCUUGACUGAUACUUACAGUAUAUUGCAUUUAUCAUCCAAUUUUUCAUGUACCAGUUGAUUCUUGCUCUUUUUUCAAAUACAAUUUUGUGUUUCUUGAAGUUAAGUAAGUUACUUUCAUCUACCUUGUGUUAGUAAAAAGGGAAGAUGGAACAGGGAAAAAACAAAGCAUUGAUCCUUCCCAUGGUUGUGGUUCUUCUAUUGGGAAGGAGGAUGUUGCAUUCUACCCAUCUUCACCCUUUUAGUUUGUUUAACUGGUGAUUGCUAAUCAGUACGCUCUCAUUGAGUGUGAAUUUAUAGUUAUUGACCAGUAAUACUGCAGUUUUUUCUGCCUGAUAAUGUAAACUGCAUCUUUUCCACCGGAUAUUAAUAUGCGUAAAAGAAAGAUUGUCAUUCAUCAUUAAUUGUGUUUACUGUUAAGUUUUAUAUGCUGUUUGUAUCGUCAUUGUUCAUAUAUAUCCAUGUGAAACUCUAUAUGUGAAGGCUUUUGAUUUAUCCAACAAUUGAGUAGCUUAUAUGUGUUAUAUAAUUAGCAGCAGGAGGAAUGUGUUCUUAAGCUAAUGUCAGGUAUUGUGGCUAGUUUUUGAUUAUAUCACACAGCUUGAUGCUAAUUUUAAUGGGUGAUGUGGAUUUAUUGUUUAAAUUUCAGGUGCUGUGCUGCAUGCAUUGACUACUGGGCUACCAUCACAAGCCUAUGCCCACUUUGGCAGAAUGCGUUUCAAUUGAUAACAUGUAUACCUGUGAGUAUGAAAAGUUGUUUGAAUUUUUGGACCUUCUCCUUCAUCAUUUUGAUGUCCUUCCUUGUGUGUUCAUUCUUAUUGACCUAUGCACGUGAUGAUUCUUAAAGUGAUUGUUAAAAACUUAACAAUUUGAUCUUUGAAAUUCUACACUAAUAUCUUAACCAGGAAAUGGUUACUCGUGCGUCUUAUGAUUAAUGAAGGUAUAAGAGAGUUAAUGCUUUGGUUUGAGGAUGUGGGAAGGAGGAAAUUCUCUCCCUCUGACUCCGUGCAGCCCCUUUGAUUCAAAAAUUAGGAGGAAAAGAGAGCACAAUAAGCAACGUUAGUUGGUCAUUACCGAGGAUAUACUCAUAACCACCUAAAUUUUGGAGGUCAAAGGAUAAAACGAUCAAAGUUUAUUCACCAGUAGAUUUUAGUGAUAGAUGGAUUGUUUUUUGAACCUUGUCCCAUACAUUACUCUGACUAGAAUAAAGUAAGUAACAAGAUAACGAAGAAACCAAGAAAAUAAAAUAGAGCAGCAGAGCACUGAAAGACCCAAGAAAUGGCUUCUGAUGAACCACAUGGUAAAUAGUCUCAUCAAGAUUGUUACCCUCUACAUCUCAAGUCACAUUUUAUGGUUAUUGAUUGACUUCAUGCAUAGCUGCAUCAUUGCCUGCGAAAUAUGAACAGAGUACCAUGUAGCACUGGUUUUCUUGAAAGACAAAACCUCUCUGAAUAGACAAAAUUCAAAUGAGUAAAACAGACUUAUGAGGCAAUUUUACAUGGAAAGACCAUCUUUCAAUCAAAAAUUCAAUUUGACUCAAAUAUGUUCUUUACUCAUUUGGAUGCAAAGGUAAUGCAUCUUGUGAACAAAUUACACCAUUUUGAGACCGAUCAUUUUAGUUUAUAAAUUACCAAUCGAUGUAGAGAGAGAACAAAUUUUGCUUAAAAGCGAGGUACAGAAUUACAUUAAAAGGGGAGGCUAUUGGAUAAAUAUUUAAAUUUUUCUCUAAAACCAAUUGUACUUCUCUCUUGUUGUUUGUAAAUUUGUAUCUUGAUUUGGUCAAUAAAACGUGGCAGAUAUAAGGGUGUCAAACAAUAUUCCAGUUCUUGUAAAGGCAGCCAAUGAAUGGACUGUAGAGGGGGUAGUGAUUAAGCUACACUCCAUCAUCUGCUACCAGAUAUAAGGCUAGGACUACACUACCAUGUUGUAGUUGAUUCAUGACUUCCAGUUUAUGCUGGUUCUAUCUCUCUGUUUUCUUUGGAUAAAAAACAUCAGCAGAUUCAUCAGAAACUAAAUGUUUGUCAUUUAAGGGUUUUAUAUUUAAACCCAAAAAUUCUUUGUUCUCAGACUACAAGUUUAUGUUUCUUAUAACUAGUCUUGAGAUAUUUCUGCUCAAAUCAUUUCAUCUAUUUUCUUGCAAAAUCUAGUUUGCAAAAUCAUUUAUGCUGGUUCUAUCUCUGUUUUCUUUGGAUAAAAAACAUCAGCAGAUUCAUCAGAAACUAAAUGUUUGUCAUUUAAGGGUUUUAUAUUUAAACCCAAAAAUUCUUUGUUCUCAGACUACAAGUUUAUGUUUCCUAUAACUAGUCUUGAGACAUUUCUGCUCAAAUCAUUUCAUCUGUUUGCUUGCAAAAUCUAGUUUGCAGUCUAUCCCAGAUAUUUACAAUCAUUCUGCAUAACAAUGAACUGCAGGUGUUUUUUUGCGCAUUUUUAUUUAGAUAAAGGAAAUUACAUGUCCUUUAAUAUAAAUCUUUUUGUUAAAUUCACAUCAGUAUCACCAGAGCAGCACUUAGUUCGCACGAAUCAAAAAUAGUGACUUCCUUGUUGUUUAUCUUUUCUGAACUCACCUAUUUGUUUUCACUAGUUAUAGAAUACUAAAGCUAUAACUUUGUUAGUCAUAAUUGUUUGAAAAAUAGAAUAUAAUUAGUAAUAUUUUAAUCAACUUUAAUAUUGGAAGUAUUCCAGGAGCUUUUAUUGAUAUAUUUUAAUUGAAAAAUUGCCACAUGUUUUUUAAUUUUUUUAAAUAAAAAAUUAGUCAAUUAUGCCUUGAAAACUAUAAUUGAAAAGCUAUGUAACUGAUACAGAUGCUGCUUCAGAAGCUGAAUGAGCAGCAAGAUACUAAAGGAUAUAAUCUUCCCAGAAUAAAGUUUUUCCCUUGGAAUUGGAGAAAAAAUUUAGCCAAUUUCAGUUCUUUCUGUCUACAAUGAAGUUCCUACGACUUCAAGUUCCUGUUCAUUAUAACUCUCCUUUAACAUACAUCAAAAACUACAUAAUUGUACAUUAUAUCUAGUUUGAGCAAAUUUAUGUUCAAUACAUCUGGGUAAUGAGACAUUUCUGCUCAAUUUAUUUUGGUCUGCUACCUUUCUUCAUUAAAACUAGUUUGCAGUCUAUUCAAUAUAUUUACAAUCAUCCCAGAUAUCAAUGAAAUGCAGGUGCAAUUUUUGUGCAUGUAAAAUUAUGCGGAAUAAUAUUGCCCAUAACAGGCUCUACACAAAAAAAAAAUUGGAGCUACUUCAUAUAUUAAAUUGUUUAUGUUCAUAAGCAAUAACAACAUAUAUUUGUAAGGACGAAUAUUUUGUUGAAUAAAAGAAAAUGCUAGUUAAUGAUGUCGAUUAUGAUAAAAAUGUUAUAUACCCUUUAGCAUAAACAUGUUGUGUUAAUUUUUUUUAUUUUCCAUGAACCAGUCUUUCGUGAGCACUCUCUAACCUUUAUUGUUUUGCUAGAAAGGUCGGUGAAAUUUCUAGAGCAUGUUUGGUAGAGAUUUUAAUCUAAUUAAAAUCAAUUUUUCGACCGUUAUUUCACUAUUUCAGCUGUCAUUUUUGAAUUCUUCUCUCACAGGUAGGACUCACUUUACCUCUAACAGUCAAAAAAUCAAUUAACAAAAUCCUUACCAAACAAGCGCCUAAAAUGAAAAGUGGAAAUCAUUUGUGAAUCUGACCAGAAAAGAAUCCAAGUUGAAGAUGAAAGAAUUGGAGAAACCAGAUUACCAAAUGAACAUUAAAAGAAGAUUGAUUAUGAAAGAAGCUUUAAGCAGGAGAAUCAACAGACUCUCCUUAUCUGUUAUGAAAUCCAAGAAAGAUGAAGGAAAUAGCAAAACCAAGAGCAAUGGACAAUAUAAAAGUGAUGAUCAAAUGAUUUGAUGAUCAUGUAUUUGUCAAAUAAUGUUUGAAAUAUGCAUGUCGGCUAUUUUGGGUUUCCCCUUUGUUUAUUUAUUUAUUUUCCAUUUUUGGUGUGGUACUAUAAUAAAACUUUGCCCUUG